rnacentral:lncRNA from 1 species
UAUAAAAUCCCAAUUUUCCCCUUUCACUAACCCUAAACUCUCCAUUUCCCCCAAAUACUUCCCCAAGCUCUCCUUCUCGUCGGAUUUUCCCCAAGCUCUCCUUCUCGUCGGAUUUUCCCCAAGCUCUCCUUCUCGUCGGAUUUUCCCCAAGCUCUCCUUCUCGUCGGAUUUUCCCCAAGCUCUCCUUCUCGUCGGAUUUUCCCCAAGCUCUCCUUCUCGCCGGAUUUUCCCCAAGCUCUCCUUCUCGCCGGAUUUCCUCCAAGCUCUCCUUCUCGCCGGAUUUUCCGUAACUCUCCUUCUCGCUGGAGGUAAUGUUCUUAAUGUCUAGAUUUUCCCCAACCCUAAUGUUCUACUUCGAUCCUAAUCCAUCUGCCUCUCUUCUUCUCUUCGUUUUCAAUAUAAACACUAAUAUUCUACUUCGAUCCUAAUGGAUCUGCCUCUCUUCCUCUCGUCGUUUUUAAUAAACUUCUAAAAAACUCUAAUAUUCUACUCAUGGGUCUUCAUUCUUUAAAUAGAAGUGAUUGGGGUUCAUUCUGUAAAUGAUGAUCCUUUUCAAUGCUCUAGGUAGUCCAAAAUGAGAUUCAGCCUUUUACCUUUCUAAAUAUUUUUGUAAAUGUUCAGUAAAUGGAUUUCUGAAAAUUGAUUUUUAAUUUGUAAAUGUUCUUCUAAUCAGUUUCAGUAAAUGUUAUGAUAAUGGAUUUCUGUAAAUGGAUUUUUGUAAAUGUUUUUCCAAUCAAUUUAUAAAUAUUUUGUAAAUACUUAAAAAUGUUUCCGAUGAAUUUUACUUAGAAAGUAGUACUUUUCUAAUGUUUUUGUAAAUGUUUUGUAAAUGCCCUUCUUAGUAAAAAGAUAAUUAAUUUCUGUAAAUCUUCUGUAAAUGGAGAUUCUUCCAUUAUCUUGUUCUGUAAAUAGAACAAUAAGAUGUAAAUUGUAUGAAAUUUACAUAUAAUGUUCUUGUUUUACUUCUGUAAAAUUUACGUUAAAAUAACUAUGAAAUUUAGUUCUGCAAAUUUUUUAAAAUCAAAUUUAAAUUAAUUAUCUUUAUAAAAUUAUGAACUAUAAAAUUAAUUAUGUUUAUAAAUAUUUAUCAAUAUCAUUAUAAAUCAUGAUUUAGGAAGUCUAAACUGAUCAGUUUCAAUGUCUUAUGCAGGAACGGAUAGACAUCUACUGUUAUAAAUUUUUUUUAGCUUUUGUUAAGGUUAUUAUAACUUUUAGAGGUAUAGAGCUUUAACAUUUUGGAUAAAUUUUUAUCUGAUUUAUUUUGACUUGUUUUUAUUUUUACACUUAAGUUUCUUCAGUUUUGAUUUGCUUUUUUAUCCGAUUUAUUAAUGGAUUAAUUUUAUUGCUUGAGUUCAAUCUAAUGAUUUACAAUUCUCUAUUGCUAUUUAUUUUUAGGUUAGAAUUAUAUUUUUGAGGGAUGUGAUGUUGUAUACGGUCGAAUAAAAUUUCCCCACUAGCUAUGAAAGAAAAAAUCACAAGAUAAAGAAAAGAUAGAGAGUUGUAAUGCUCAUAUUGUAUUUUCUAAAAUUUUAGAUUAUUUUGUUGAUUAUUGAUUAAAUCUGUUUUUAGAUUAAAUUUUACAUAUUUUAUAUUUUCCUUAUUUUCAGAUCUUAUAUCUAUUUGCUUAUGUUAGAAUUAGUGUAUUAAUCAAUUUUUUCUUUUCAGAAUUUGCAUCGUCUCCUCCUGAGUAGCUAGCUUAUUUCAUAUGUACGUAUUUAGUUGAUUAUUUGAUCUUAAUCUUAUAUUCAGAUCAUUUUUAUGAUGUAAUUUACUUGAUUAAUUUCUUCACUUGAUAUUUGAUACUUUUCUAGUUCAUGGUGUUUGUUUGCUUAUUGUUUUAACCAAGGAUUCUUAUAACCUAGACAUGAUUUUAAAAUUGAUGAUUUUAAAAUUGAUGAUUUUAAAAUUAUAAAAUAUACAAAUUGAUUAUGUUGAUCGUAAAAAAACCCAAAGAUACAUGUUUUCUAUUUGAUUUGUUAAUAUUUCUUAUACAUGGUGUUUUUAUUUUUCAUGAUAUAUUUUUAUUGGAUCAAUAGAUCGAUGAUAUAGCAUGUAAUCUAAAAUUCAAUAAAGUCAUGACAAAAUUUAGUUUUUUUCGUAUAGACUCUAAAAUUAGGUCGAAAACCUUCAUUUCAAGAGGCAUUCUUGUCGACUCAUACGUCGUUAAAUGAUAGACGAAAAACUAUGAUGGUGAGUAAUCAUUUAUUAAUAUUUCAUAAUAUAUUUAUUUUUUCUUAAUUGUUUCAUAUUUAAUUUUCGUAAAGACCGAAUAUGAAAAUUUGAAUGAAGAACUUCGAAGACAAAAAGACAGUGAUUCUGAUAACGAUAGCGAAGACAAAAAUUUAUCGUCUCGAGGUUCAACUACAUUUCAUAUGAAGCCUCUGUUUAAUUAAAAACGAUCAUAUUGAACCUUGGCUGAAAGCAUCAAAGGGAAAGAAAAAUGUGCGCAUUCUGGGAUUUAGAGUUGGCAAUGACUCUAUGUUAUCAAAUAAGAGGAGAAACAAAAUGAGCAAUGAGUAAACUGAGAAGCACAACACUGAACAAUUUGAAUUGGCAGUUUCCAAAGCCAUUGAAAAACGAAUGAAAGCGUUCGAAAUAGAAAACGAAAAACGACUUAAAAUGAUAGAACAACGGUUAAUUGACAAUAUAGAUGUGAGUUUAAUAAAUGUUUUUAAAUUAGUUUUUAAAUUUAUUAAUUUUUGAAUAUCUUCAUUUAUUUUCAGACUAAUGCUACAAGCAACGACCUCAAUCGUCCAUCAUCGAGUAAUGUUCCUGCUUCUUCUCAGUUGAACCAACUUAUUCCAUUAUCGAGAAAUUAUUGGGAAGAAGAUACUACUUUGAAUUCGACACCUUGAUCAAAAGGUAAGACUUUAGAUAUUUCAAAUAUUGUUUAACAAAAAAAAUUGUAAAACACUUAACUUUAUUGUAAUUGAAACACUUAAUUCUAUUAUAAUUGUAACUGUAAUCUCUAUGUAACAUCAAUGUGUGUGAUUGUAAAACACUUAACUCUAUUUCUUUUUUGCUUAAUCUAAUUUGUGAUUUAAUAUGUGAGAUUUGUGUGAUUGAAUGUAUGUGAUUGGUGUACAUGAUCGAUUGAAUGUAUGUGAUUGGUGUGAAUUGAAUUGAAUUGUAUUUGCAGGUAUUGAAUUUUAUUUACAGGUGUGAUUGAAUGGUAAGGCUCUAAAUGAGCACCCAUAUAAAUAAAACAUUUUUUUAUUGUAUUCUAUUUUAGCGACGAUUGAACGACGAUAAGUUGAGACAAGGAAAAUUAAAAUUUAACAAAAUCGAUGAUUUAGCGGCGAUUAAGCGACGAUAAGUUGAAACAGGAAAUAUUAUAAUUUAUUGAGAGCGACGAUAUAGCGAUGAUGUAUUUCAAAUAUUAGCGACGAUUCAGCAAUGAUGCUAUUUUUUGGCGCCAAAAAAUAGCACACGCAUAGGAUUACACCAGCGACGAUGACACAUCGUCUGUCAUCGUCGCUGAUAAUUAGCGACGAUAUCCAACAUCAUCGCUAAUUUUUUAGCGAGGCGACCUACAGCGAAGCUUUAGCGUCGAUCAAUAAUCGUCGCUGAAAUCAAUUUAGUAACGAUUUUUUACUUUCAUCUACGAUUUUUGAUCGUCGUUGAAACGCAGGAAUCUUGUAGUGCACCUAAGAGUAUUAAAGAACUCUUAAAAACCUCUGCCAAGCUUUAAGGCUAAACGCUUGUGAACCUUCUAAGAGUAUUCAGAAACUCUUAAGAACCUCUGUCAAGCUUUAAGGCUAAACGCUUUUGAACCACCUAAGAGUAUUAAAGAACUCUUAAAAACCCUUGAACCUUUAAGGCAGAUUCAACCUAGGAGUUUUCCUGAAAACUCUAUAGAACCACACCGAGUUUUAUGGUUGAACUCGUAAAACCUUACAAGUGUUGGUAUUGAGACAAGUCUCUCACAACAUUUGGACCACUUACAAGAUGUAGAACUUUUCUUCUAACACACUCUCAACGUACAAGAGGGGAAGAAGAAGAAGAAAUUGAAGAACUAGAGCACACAACCUUGAGAGAAACUCCCACACAAAGCUUGAACGAGAGCUAGAGCUAGCUUGAGCAAGAGCAAGAGACAACGAGAGUAGAGCUUUGAUCCAAGAAGAGCUUUAGCAAAGAUGGCAAGUGAUGGCUUUAGCUCUUGGGUGUACACCUCCUUUUAUAGUAGACGUGAGUGGCAUGGAGGUAAAUUCUUCAUCUUCAAAACUCCUAGAAAGAAGAGCUUGAUAUUGUAGACGUUGGUGGCUUAGAGCUUCUCUUGGAUUUGAAUUUCAUCUUGGGAGAUUGUGUAGCAUUAAAUCCAAAAUCAUAAUUGAAUCUCAUUUUGGGAGGUUGUAUAACAUUAACUCCAAGAUCAUGAUUGGAUUUCAUUUUGGGAGAUUGAACCUCCACACGUUUUUGCCUUUCUCUAAUUUGAACUCUUCAACUAGGAUUUUGUGUAGCAUUGAUUCUAAAAUCUUUGUAGUUAAUAUGUUGGAUAUGCUCUUGGAAUUUAUCAUGAUUGCCCUUCUACACGUUUUCUACAUCUUGGGUCCAUUUGAAGUUUGAAUGAAUAGUUGUAGCUUUCACACCUUGUUGAUUAACCUUUAAGACAUUGAUCAAUUUGAAACAAGAGUUAAUGUAAGCAAAUAGGUGUGCAUGAUUAAAUACAAACUUCAAUAAUUAACUUGAUUAAUAAUAGAGAUUUGUUUGAUGGAAAUAAUAUUGAUCUCAUUUUAGUUUAAUUAUAUAUCAAGUCAAUUUUAUCUAUGUCUUUUUAAUUAGGGUUUAUUAUAUUUCAAAUUAAUUAACAACUAAAUAUGUCAUUGAUAAUUUAGUGUUGGCAAUAUAUAUUGAGUUAUUAAAAAUUAGAUUUUUGAAAAUAGUAUAGACUAUAGUUUAUGAAAUGUGAUUAAUUUAGUGUUGGCAAUAUCUAUUGAAUUAUUAGAAAUCAGAUUUUUGAAAAUUGUAUAGAUUAUAGUUCAUGAAAUGUGGUUUAGUGAAGACUGAAGAUCUAUUUUAAAUAUUCAAAUAUUUACAAAAAAUGAAUUAUAUUUAAAUUGCCCAAGAUCAAAGAAAUAGAAUGACUGAAACUUGGGGACUUACAUGCAAAUUGUUAAUUGAAAAAAAUUAAAUUGUAUGGACCAAAAAAAAUCCAGGCUCAAACAGCAAGUAAUAAUAAUAUUACAAUUUUUCUAUGGCCCAAUUUGUUGUAGCCCAAUUGUAAAAAUUGUAUGGUGAUUUUAAUUAAUAACCUAUUUUAUCUUGUCCAUUGACUUUUUGAAGAUUGACUUGGUCAAAAUUAAGGCUCACAUGUAGUUAAACCAUGGAUAAACAUUAAAUCAAUCACUCUUUGUUUAUAAAGUCAGACUAGCUCGUUAAGGAAUUCCUUAAGGUCGAUCGGGUUUGGAUUCAAGUUCGGCAAGCUUAAUUUGGCCAAGCUCAGGCUCAGCUCGUUAAGAAAUUCUCUAAGGUCAAUCGGGUUUGGAUUCGAGUUCGGCAAGCUUAAUUUGGCCGAGCUCAGGCUCAGCUCAUUAAGGAAUUCACUAAGGUUUGGUUUGGACUCGAGUUCGGGAAGCAUAAUUUGGCCGAGCUCAGGCUCAGCUCGUUAAGGAAUUCCCUAAGGUCAGGUUUGGGCUUGAGUUCGGCAAGCUUAAUUUGGCCAAGCUUAGGAUAGAUCAUUAAGGAAUUGAUUCUUCAAGUUCGAGCUCGAAAAGCUUAUCAGGAAUUCAAAUAUCUCUAUAUCUAAUUUUAAAUUCUUUUAUUAUCCAAAUUCACAGAUUCAAAUUCGUUUAAUUUCGGAUAAUAAUUUAGAUAUUCAUAUAUUCAUUGAAUUCGGAUAUUCAUUAACAGCCCUAACCCUACCAACAGUGGCGGUAAUUAAGGAAGACAGCUGACGGUAAGAUCAAUUGCUAUCAGUCCACGCGUCCGUCCGAUAAUAAAUAGAUAAGUUUGAAAGCUUCGGAAAAUAGUAUAUAAAUAAAGAUCAACUGAUAUAUGUUUCCUCCGAUCAAACAUAGCUUAUUGCUCCGAUCCGGCAGCUUUCUGGCUACUUCGAGUUCCAGUCUUGCUAUGGCUAACAACUCAAGAGAUAGUGAGCAAUAAACCAUCUCCGGCCACCGGUCGCUGCUUUAAUUAAUAUAGAAUUUAUAUAAAUACACAUCAGUUCACUGUUUUUCUUCUUCUUUUACAGACGCCAAGGAUGUAGACGAUCAAGGUUACAAGGACUUGAAAUAUGGCGAUUUCUCUGGCCAUGCUCAUGGAGGAUACCGGGGAUGUCACGGUCAUGGUUAUUACCGUGGAGGAUUCUACGGAGGUCAAGGUCGUGGACGUGGCUGUGGAGGAUACUAUGAAGGUUUUGGUGAUCACGGCGGAGAAAACCAGGGAUGCCAAGGUCACAGUGAUGGUCAUGGAGGAUUCUACAGAUGUCAAGGUCGUGGAUGUGGAGGACAUCACAUCCGUGGGGGAUGCUGUGGGGGUCAUGGUCACGGAACACACGGACGUGGUUUUAAAAUGUAAAUGAUUUUAUCGUUAUCACGGUGGCUGGUUCCGUCAAUUUUCAGAUAUGCACCGGUGAGCGGUGGCGUUGCAGCGGUGGAAAAGUAGGAUGUUUCUGUACUAUAUCUAUGUUUAAAGGGUUUUUUCAUAAAAUGUUAUUUUAAAGUUUUUUAUAAUUUAAAUGGAUCAGAUAAUAUGGUAAUCGGGUUUAUUUAGCUCUAUAAAUCAGUUUUUUUUUUUUUUUGAAUUUCAGUCAUGUUAGAAAAAUUCAUACGCCUGAUUAAUUCAUGCACGACCUUAACCUCAAACAACGCUAAAAAAAUCUUCGCCAUUAUCAUCACCCACGGCGGCCUCCAUGACCGCCACAUCCGCCGUAGCCGUCAUCGGAAUACCCUCAUUCGUGCCUCCACCGACUGCAAACACUUCCACCUCGCACUUCACCUUUACUCUUCUUUUUUCCACAUAACGACAUCUUCUCCUCCUGACAAAUUCACCUUCCCUUUCGUCCUCAACUCCUGCGCCGCCCUUCACGAUACCCUCAUCGGAAGAAUGGUUCAUAAGCAAACCCUUGGUCUGGGUUUUAAUGGUGAUGUUUACGUGGCCGCCGCAUUGGUCGAUAUGUAUGCUAAGUGUGGUUCAAUUGUAACUGCGCGUAAAGUGUUCGAUGGAAUGUGUGUUAGAGAUUUAGUUUCGUGGACGACCAUGGUUUCUGGGUAUGUUCAUAAUGGGUAUAAUGCUGAGACUUUGGAGAUGGCUAGGUCGAUGAUGGAGAUUGGGAUUAAGAUGAAUCGAGUCGCUUUGCUGAGCACGCUGCUCGCAAGCGGCCAGCUUGGUGAAUUGAGGAUUGGCGAGGUGUUCUAUGGAUAUGCAAUUUGUGGAGGGUUCGUGAACGAUACGUUGGUUGCUACCGCGGUUAUGGACAUGUUUGCCAAGUGUGGUAGUUUGGAUUCGGCGAGAGCCGUUUUCGACGGGGUGGAAGCGAAAGACGUCGUUUGUUGGAGCUCGAUGAUCGCGUGUUACGGUGUGUUUGGCCAGGGAAGAGAAGCCAUUGGUGCAUUUCAUCGAAUGGUUAACGAAGAAGGUAUUAGGCCAAACCAUGUCACCUUCACUAGCCUACUCACCGCAUGUAGCCGUUCCGGUCUAGUAGACGAAGCUUAUAAAUUUUUCAAAUUGAUGGAUUCUCCCAAUCUGAAUCAUUACUCAUGCAUGGUCGAUCUUCUCAGUCGUGCCGGGAAGUUGCAGGAAGCUGAAGAACUCGUCAAUGCGAUGCCAAUUCCGGCCGACGCGGCACUUUUGGGCUCUCUCCUCGGGGCAUGUUUGAUGUAUGGUAAUGCUGAAAUUGGAGAACGCAUCGCUGAUCGUGUUUUCCAACUUGAUUCUAGCCACUCUGGGUACUACGUCAUUUUAUCGAACAUCUUCGCCACAAAGUCGAGAUGGUCGGAGGUGGAGGGUGUACGGAAAUUAAUGGUCGACAGAAGUAUUCGAAAGAAUCAAGGAUUUAGCUUGAAUAGAGUAAUAACAAAAAUAAUAGCAAAUUGAAUAUGAGGAAGAAGAGGUUAAACUAUUUCUACUCCGGUGAUCGCUUGCAAUUCCCCGGGAAGAGGAACUUAUAUCGGUCGGCGUUUUCGAUUAGAUAACCGGGAAGAUUAAUAGCGGAAUAGGAUCUUGGUAUUGGUCCCAUCUUCCCAAUGAUAUCUUUGAAGGUGUAUUCUUCCGGGAUCAUGUCGAACAGAUCCUUUCCUUGACAUAUCAAAUUCUGGAUCCUCGCCGGCUUGAGGAAAUACUUGAACCGUACACGGUCGACGUGGCUGUAUGCUUUGAUCUUGAAAAUAAACUCGUCGAUGUGACGGAAGCAGAAGCUGCAGUGCCAGCCAGAAUCGGAUAAUAUGAUAUCAGUUUGCCGGUAAUGAGCGUACCGUGUUUUACCAGUCCGGUAACGAUGGACGGAAGCUCGCCAGCUUUUAUUAUCUACGGGAAACUCGAAGGAGUAGAGAUAAUUUUGGAGACGGAGAUGGAUAAUUUCAGGCACAUCAUCGCACCAUCUCAGAAGAUCGAUAGUGUGACCGCUGGGAAUCUCAUCGACGUCGGACAUUAUAAGAAGAUCGUCGUCAGUAAUUCCGGCGAUUCGGAUAAGCUGAUCAAGGGCUACCCGUUGAUAAGACUCCUCGACGAACGGAUUCUCAUCUCUGACGAAUCGACCACCGACCAUCCCGUAUGUCAAUCUCGCCUCGGCGAAUUGAAAGUCCUGACGGCGAUUUUCCGCGAAGAGCAACGGUUUGGUCUUUCCGGUGAAAGUGGAGUUGGACUCAAGAAGAACGAACUCGGAGACGUAUGGGCCUAACUCUUGCCAUCGGACGGCGAGUAGGUCUACCUCGUUGUUGAAUAGAACAGCGUCGAAAACCUUCCUUGGCGUUUCCCGGAUCCCCCAACCGUGUAAUCUACAGAGCUUCUCCAUGGAGACAUUCUGAUGGUGGUAAUGGGUGAUCUCUUGGAACGGCGUCGGUGGAGACUCCCACAGUGGACGGAGAAAGUAGGUGAUCUUCUGGCCGUGUAUAUAAAAUGCGAAUAAACUCGUCGGGAGGAUGACCAAUAGAAGGAUGACCAACCGGAUGUUAAAGCCGGCGAUCAUACAUAGAAGCAAUCUGCAGUAUCUCAGAACGCCACAUCUCGUCGUCUGCAAAACAAAACCCAGAUCUGACUUAAUCAAUCACCCAAACAAAAACAACAACCCAAAUCCAGAAUAUAUCGAUCAAACAAACAAACAAACCCACACCCACCCACCGAUCGAUAUACAAACAAACAAACAUACCUGACCACAGACGCCGGCGCAGAUAUCGUCGGUCUUCUUGGAGCUACAGCAAUACCCAACUCCACCUUCUUCGAUUUUCAUAAUUUUUCAAAUCUCUCCUUCCUUGAUCCUUAUGGAGAGAUGGAGAGGGAGAGAGGAAGGAUGAGUGUCACCUCGCCGGCGACCUUGUGCGAUCCUCCUCCUCCCUCUGCAAGCCGCACCUUCUUCUCUUCCCCUUCUUUCCUUUUUGACGAGUCUCACCGUCCACCCCUGCUUCUUUUUUUCUAAUUAUGGCUGGGUAUUUGGUGACUGGGUUUAGGAUUGGAAAACGUUCCAAAAAAACAGAGAACGGGUGAUGUGGCGUCUUUGCUGUCUUCCCUAUUUGGUUGUCCUUAGCUGGCCGUGUACUUAUAUGUUGUCUUAGAUAAGGUUAGUUAUGUAAUAUAUACAUAUGUUCGUUGAAUGAAUCAUUAUAACCACCGUCUUACUUAGGGUAACUUGCCGGCGACCUCGUCGUCCAAAUUACCGUUGCCGGUGACUCAUUCAACACGGUCACUUGUUUGACCCACCCAACAUGAAAUGUAAAGAAUAAAAAUUGGUCUGUCUAAAAAAAUAUUUUAUUUGGACGAUACAACAUUAUACUGGAGUUUAACUGCUCAGAAACAAUAAGAACAUGCUUAUGAGUUAUGAAUUAUGAGAUCAAUACCUACACUUCGAACCUAAACAAGCUUAUGAAUGGUUUUCAUGUCGGCGACAUCCAUGAGUGUACCUUUCUCGACAUUGUCCCACCACUUGAAUAAGAAGUUGUCGACGAUCAAUCUAAACCAAGGAGAUAAUUUGAUGCCACUUUCAUUCGCAUCGGCUUUCCUCAGCAAUUCCCUCAACUCGGAGCGAUUCACGUAUUUAGCAUCAGCAACCUCGUUGGGGUUUGGACAGAAAUUAACAUCCCGGACGAUGAAAAGCAGAUAGUCGACUGAUAAAUAUCACACCAUAAAAAUACCUUAUAAAAUGUAUGAACUACGAAGUACCCGUUGAUAGAUAACGAGCUAGAUAAUAUACUUACGUUCAUGUUCACCCCAUUUUCCAUCUGAUGGAGCCUUGUAUAGAAUCCGACCAAGGGGUAUGAAUUCGUCGACCGGCACUUCCUCUGCCUUAAUACCAACUUCAUCGAAAAGCUUCCUCUGUGCAGCAUUUCGAACACCUGUAGUGUAGUGUAUGUAAUCUUAAUCACAUUCCUAAUCAUGGUAAUCAAUUAAAAAAUAUACCACCAAAAGAAGAGAGUACCGAGGUGAUCUUUUUCUAUGAGUUCAGAACCACGAUACAAUGGAUGGCUACAGCAAGUAUUUGUCCAAACCAAUGGAAAUGUUACCUUUGUAGCCGAUCUUUGCUACAAUAAGAAGAACGAUAUCAUAAGCAAGAACAACGUUGUAGGAAAUUUAGUACAGUUGGGAUACCGUGCACAUACCUGUAUCAGCAGUUCAUAUUGAGAAUUGAAGAGGAAAACGCUGAACGCCCUGUGGAGCAAAUUUUCAGAUUCUAUCUUCUCCAUUAAGUGACCUGUUUGUGAAAUUGAUUGAAUUAAGCAUACCAUUAAAUGACCUGUUUAGGGGGAAAAAUGAAACAUGAUCCAGAUUCCAGAGUUUAAGCAUCGAAGUUAAAGCACACUUAUAAGGAGGAAUGUGGAAGCUCCAGAAGGUUUUGGAUUUUCUAGAAUUUACUACAGAAAAUGAAUUAUGCACGCCAUCACAUGCAAGGGGAACAAAUAAAAUAUAAUCCAGAUUCCAGAGGUUAAAUUCAAAAUAAAAGCACACUUCUAAGGAGGAACGUGGAAAAUCCAGAGGGUUUAGGAUUUUGUAGGAUUCAUUCUAGGAUUUUCUAGAAUUUAGUACAGAAAUGAUUUAAAGAUGUGGAACAAUGAAUGGUUUUCGAUCUUGUGUUUGUUUGUGUGUGAGCACUUACAGUUGUACUUGGAAUCAUGUCCGACAAUACGAUCAAGUUCAUCGACCAAUAUACAUCUGCAAAAUUAGACAAAAAAAACUUCUUUCAACCUGAGAAUGAUCAAGUUAAAUAAUUCAAAUUUCAAAUCAAAGCAUUUUUUUGUAGUUUCAGCCAUCUAAAUUCCAAAUAAGUCGUGCAGACGAUUAAAAAAGUUUCCGACGAAAACACUAAAUUCUGAAAACCCUAACUAAAACCGACCUCCUUCAUAAUCUAUCAAAUCCCUCACCAAAUUAAACCCUACAACAACGAUCGAUAAAUCUAGCUAGAAACCAAACCCCUAAACUCAGAGUAACGAAAGAAGAAAAAUUACAGAAACAGAAACUCACUCGUCCUCAAACAUUAACCGUCGUUGGAUAUCAUCCAUGCCAGAAUCCACUCCAGCGUUCACCAUCGAAGAAGAACAGAGACGGCGAAACGGAAACCGAAAAGGAAAUCUGACGUUAACGGUUGAAAACGACGGUGAUCCCCCACUUAGAUUUGCUGUUCUGGAAAAAAACGAACUUCUGGCAAUGCUACAGACUGUUGUCGGAUUUAUAGCAAAGAAGGUCGACAUUUUCGAAGUUGCGAUUUGGGGGUUUCUUCGUGUGUCACAAAAUUACCGUUAGACCACUAUUUAUACAGAAAAUCAGACCCUCAUUCUGGGCCCAUUUCAGAAGAUAAGACAUAGAUUCUGAAUCUCCAAAGAUUCUGUGGAAUUUUGCAAAGAAAACCUCAAAAGAAAAUUUAUUAGAAAAAUACAAUGAAUAUACUUUAUGUUAGCUCAACAGACAACAGCUCCUAAUGUCUCCCCCUUUUCAAUGUUAGUUCAAAUUUGGUGCAUCAACACAAACUAACUUCCAACUUCUCCACUUACCCUUUCUAUAUUAGACUUCAUAUCUGAUACCACCUUCUCCAUCUUCCCAAAUCCCUCUCAGCAAUGGAGAACCACACGGCGGCCAUGAUCGCAAUUCUGUUUAUUUCCUCGAUUGCGUCUACCGUCUUAUGCCAGAUACCGAUAUCGAUGAUGGGCUGCACGGCGUCUAUGAUCAGUAGUUUCGCUCCGUGCAUUGGGUAUAUCACUGGGGGUGGAGGGUCUGGGUCACCCACAGCAGAUUGCUGCAAGGCGUUUGGCGGUAUUGUUACAGGUGGUUCUGAUUGUGCUUGUUCCAUGUUGACCGGAGCUAUACCUUUUUCCCUACCCGUCAAUCGGUCGAUGGCCGUGACGCUACCUAGUUUCUGCAACAAUGCAUCUGUUCCUGUUUUCCAUUGCAACGGUUUGUUUAAAACAUCAACGAACUACUUGGGUUUUAAUAGGUUUUAAUUCACAUGAGAUAAUUAAUUAUAUAUGAAACAUAACAUCUUAUCCAUUCAUGUUCUUUCUUUGGUGCAGAUUCGAGUCCCAUUGCCGCGAUGCCACCCGUUACAUUCAGCCCAUUACGUAAUUACCAUUAUCUAGAUUAAUAUCUUACAAGAUAUCUCACCUGAAACGUUUCCCAAUCUCACCUGAAACAUGUUUUGAUUUUGUAACAUGUAAACUUGUGUGUGCAGCUCCUCCAGCUCCUAUUGUGGUAUCUCCGCCUCCAUCAACGAAAACUGCAAGGUUGAAACCUUUUCUUUCCAUAAAUGGAGCUUCUAAACAUGGCGGCGGCAGAAUUACUGCUUGUAUUUUGACAGUGUUUAUUGCACAAAUCAUCUCGUUUGGAUCUAUGUAAUUAUGAAUUAAAAAACCUACCAUUAUUCAUUAUUUACUUACCAGUGGAUACUACAAAUAAAAUUCAGUAAGCAUUUUUUUAUAAGACAACUCUGUCAGAAUGUCAUAAGCUAUUACAACCUGCAAUAUAUUGGCCCAAUGCCAAACCAUAUAUUAUCUAAAGUGCUCCAACCGAAUUUGUGGAACCCUACUAAACAUAUCAAUUAUACAUUACAAGUAACAAAGAAGUGAAAGAAGACAUACAACUACAUCGGUUACAUUAUCUUGUCCUCACAAAUAUUAAGCUUGGCCAGAAUUAACAUGAAAUUAUUAAACAGAAAAUUUACGUUAAUCGCGGUCGAACCCUCCUCCCAUUAGCAUCACCGCCAUCAGAGAGCUGAGCCCACACGCUGCGAGACUUCCCACCGCUACUACAAUCUUCUUCGCAACCUGCCACGGUCAUCAAAAGCUCCGACUGCAAUGAUGGGGAAUUCUCCUUCAGAUAUUGAAAUCCCGAUGAUCGCAUUACAGCUGCAUAUACAAAAGGGAUAACAAUUUCAAAUAACUGCAAAGAUAAUAAUGUAAUAUAUAGACUAGCUAGUGUGGCGAUAUUUAGCAAAUCAAUAGGUGUGUAUUCCAUAAUUUAUAUUACUUGUAGCAAUCACAUUUGUAUGUCGCAUUUUAAGAAUUAUAUUGUUCGAAACAAUCAUAUAUUUAUACAAUUCAUGUUAAAAACAAUCAUAAAAACCAAAGAUUUCAAAGGGAAAAAAAACGGGAAAGAGAAAAAUAAGCUGUUGCCAGUGGAAAAAAGUUGAAACGUGUUGGACAAAAUUUCUGUUGGCAGAAAAAGCUAUUUGUGAUCGCUAUUAUUAGCACGACAACUUUUGCAGAUGGGAGAGCAAACAAAAACCAAAGAGAACCUCUGUCCAGAAGCAAAACUACUAGUCUCUCCACUCCAUUCGAUGGCAUCUUCAAGGGAUGUGUCGCCAAAUGGAGGUACUUGAAACAGAGAAGGAUUGCAGGUCUGUAUCUACAAGUCGCCUCUUUUCCAUGAAAGAAGAAACCAUGCUUUCCUAUUGGAGAGCAAUGUCCAAACUCCAAAAGUCCUUACAGUUCAUCAAAAUUCGGAGAUGAUAAUCCUACUGUGCGAUUUCUACAUUGUUAUCUAUAGAGAAGGUAGCCUAAAGUCUGAAUUCAAGAUUACUCUCUAUAGAGAAGGUGACCUGCCUUCUAGUCAGUUGUGGACUUCCUCUGAUGUGCUGAAGUGCCUGGUCAGAUAUGGGACUUUAUCAAGAUGCCCCCUAGUAAUCAUUCAUCAAUAGGAAGAAACCAGAUUAUGCACAGAGAUUUUCAUGAAGCCCCGCAUAUGGGGAGUCCAUCAAUGGGUUAUUUUAACGGAGCAAGGAAGCCAUCAAAACAAUUAAUAUUAUUCGAAUUUGAAUGAAUAGUUAAAGAAUUAUUGCCUAACUGGUUAUUGAUAUCAAAUAUUCAAAUGAGGUAUUAUACAAUAUAUUAGAUAUGUAAUCAAGGGAAAACAUAGAAUACUAGAAUAUCAUGAGUUUGUAUUAUAAAUCAUUUAAAAAAAAAUAGGCACCUGCAAGGUUUUCUGCAGCAAAUUUAAGACAGAGUGCUUUGAGAUCCAAUGCAUGAUAGCGAUCGGCCAGGGAAAGUAUAUGAGAAACAGAAUCAAUGGUAAUAUCCUUACACAUAUACGACUCACACAUCAUCCGAAGCCUGUCCAAUCUAUACUUGUCGGCUACCGCUAAUAAUUUUGAAGCUAAUGUUUCUUUCCCAGUGAAAGGUGAUGGUGAACUGCAUGCAGCUAAAUCAUCACCUUCAACAAAAGUAUCACUGUAAAUAAAAAGCAACAUCGCCUGCAAAGGGGAUGUAAAAUAUUUUAACAAAAACAAUGAGAAUCUAAAAUUUAGUAUGUUUAAAAGACUUAAAUUUUAAAAUAUUAAAUAUCCUAAGAAUUGAGAUUUUUAUUAUUUAACAUGGUAGGCUACAGUUAGGGUUUAGUAGUUGACACUUGACAGAGGGAUAUUGGUAAAAAAACUGCAAACUUUUUCAAGGAGGCACAGGACAUUUGACUUUAAAAAUAACCCAGACCCAAGCUAAACUUGCAUUAAUUUUAUAAAUCUGGUGUUUGUGAAGAUUAACUUCAAUGCAUUUUGAGUUUAAAAAUAUAUGAAAAUAAUAAUCAUUGACGAUGUAAAUAUCUAAAACACCCUUUUGAAUCAAUGUUUUUUUGGAUAUGAAUCAAUCUGUUAACAAAUCCCAAGUUACACAAAAAAUCCAAAUGGCAGUAAAUAUCUAAAACAUUCUUAAAGUUUUAAAAUGCACAUUAUAAUAUUGAGGGAAGCGUGUGGAAAAAACACACCUUGAAGACCUCUGGCUCGAAAUCGUUGACAAGAAUCUCAUCACUGUCGUCUUCCAUUCUGCCAAAGAACUUCGUUUGAAACACUGGAGAUCGAGCAGCAAGUACAAGUUUAUGAGCCUGAAAUCUCUGCCCAGAAACAUUGAAUACAACAUCCGCACCCUCCUUCGACUCCAAUAGCAUGCUAAACUGCAAUCCUAUGUCAGAUUGAGGCACAUUUAUGGUCUGCAAUCUAGAGGAAUCUGUCGCAGACACAACAACUCCAACCGUGCAAUUGAUCUUCAAACAAUCUCCUUUCAAAAAAUCAGAAGUCUCAAGCAAAGACCUUCUGAAAAAUCUCUUAUAACCCCUAACAAAAACAAAUCGAAACAGGAAAAAUGAGAAGAACAGAUUCAUUCAAAAUGAAUAAAAAUCACCGUCAGGGGGAAAAGAAAAGGAAAAAAGAAAUUACCACAUGCUACCACGAUAUUUGAGGGUAUACGGACCGCUUUCCAACGAACGAUCGAAAUGACUAUGCACCUUGUGCUUCCCUUUACCAUUCUGAUCAAGGAGACUCAACUCAAAAAGGGCACGAACGUCGGUGCCAUCGCUGGCCAAGGCGAUAAAGACAGAAACAUAGACGGAGUUAUCCUCGGGAUUCUUACCAUCAGGGUAGAAGUAGAUCGCCCACUGAAACCCUCCGACGGUAAAUGUGUCGCUAGCGAUGUGCUUUCCAACACCCAUACCUUUCGCUAAAGAGUAACCCUGGAUUGUAAAUUUAUGGGAUCCGUUAACCGUUUCGGUAAUUGACUGGGAGCUCGUCGGCGACGAAGAUCGGCACCGAUCCGAUGCGUUCCCAAUUUCCGACAUCGUCGAUUGACCUUGUUUGGAACCCUAGGCAAAGGGGGGAAGAGGAGCCGGACACACACAAAGGAAAAAAUUCUCGAAAAAGAAGUGACACUUGACAAGUAGUAUUCUUUUUUAUUUUAGUUCUUAUUCUAAAUCUAAGAUUCUAUAGGGUCUAAAUUAUAAAAUUAUUAUAAUAUCGGAUUAGGCUUAAAAAACCCGAACACAACUCGAACCAAACCCGAUUGCUAUUUGACUCUGGUAAUUAAAUUAAUUAGUUAUAUGUUAAUUACAUCAUCAAGGAUUAAUCGCGGGAUAAUUUCUCAUCAAUACUUAAAGUAGGACUGACAAUGGGUAGAGUAGUACCCGAUGUCAAUGGGUAGGAUAUGAGUCAAAAUUUACCCGAAUUUGAGAGGGUUGGUAUAUAUGAACCUUCUAAAACUUCUAAGACUGAACCUGACCGAGAUUGGGCCAACGGACCUGGAGAUGUCCUUGAGACGCUCUGAUGAACCGAGUCGAGAUUGGACCGCUGGGGAUGUUUCUGUUGGGCCAUUUCAGUGGACUGAGGGUAUUAUUACCGACCAAAUCGGAUAGACUACAAGUAUAUGUAUUUUAUUUCUAAUAUAUUUGCCAGAUCAAUGAUUUUCACAUGACCCGAACUUUUACCCGAUCAAAUGGUGAUGACGUAAAACCGGUAUACAUGCCUAUACGAUCGGUUUAGGGCUUUUUCCUCUUUCUCAUUGUAGUCUAGACUGUUGAUGAUACAAUGCCGAUGAGGUGGCCGUUACAGUCGAUCAGAAUCUCCUUUUUUUCCCUCUCUCUCUAGUGCUCAUUAAUGACCUAAGGUAGGCAAUAUUAAUAGCGACGUCACCCUUCUAACGAGUCCAGACUGGCCCUUGGGCCGAAGUCGGGUCGGAUCCACAGACCGGAUCCGAGUCGGAUCGGAGUCACUGUUGUUAUCCUUAAGCUAUUUUCAGUGGACCGAUAGUAUCAUCAACUGUGUAGGCAGGUGAUGAGGGUGGAACCUGAUCAGUGUUCGACGACGCUUCGAACAAGCGUGGGGCGGGGAACUCCGCGGGGAAAUCGAUCCGGGACUCAGUUACUCAGAACUCCGUGGGGAAAUCGAACUCGGACUUCUCCACUCCGAAUGACCUGACCAAAUGAGUAAGAGUUGUUCUCUAUUUAUAAGAUUUUUAUGGGAGCAAUCUGGUCAUUUGAACCGUAAACGCCUAACUGCCUAACUGACCAUAUCUGGUCUCAAGUCGAUUUUCUGGGAUCGACUUCUAGAAAAGUCGACAUCUGGGAAAGUUGAUCUUCUCGGAAAUCAACUUGGGACCUCUCCAAACCUGAAAUAGGCGUCUCAGUUCAUCUUGGAUUAUCCAAACCUCUAGUUGUUGAUGUGUUGUGACCAAGUUUGGUAUACUCUAUCACCAGCAGAGUAACGUGUUUCUUCUAUUGAAGUAGAGAGUAUUAAUAGGACACCCGCUGUCCUUCGGGGCAUGACCUUGAUGUUCUUAGGCCUGAGCCGGGUCGGAUCCGGGGAAGUUCUCGGUCCCUCUCGUCGGGUUGGGUCUGUAUCGAGUUUUAAGCUCUUCUUAGGCUAUUGAUGUUAUUUUUGAACCGCCCUAGUGGGUCAGGCAGGGCAUACCUUAUCCAUGACCAACCCUAACUUAAGAUAAGAUAAUUAAGCAAGAAAUGGAUAAUUAGACAGCUGAAACAAAAAAGAAAUUAGCACUCUCUGAAUCCUAAACCCUUAAUAACCUUAAAGGUUGAGCUAAUCUCUCUGGUUUUGAUUGACGAACUUCGAUCAUCAGAAAAUGUCAAGAACUUCGAGAAUGUAAACAUUGCAGAGUGGACACAUUCCACGGCUGAUCCAAAGCUCUCUUGAGCACAGACGGCAGAAAGUAUGGCCGCACGGUAUAAACGCCGCUCCUUUCUGCCGGACCAUGCAAACACAGCAUAGGUAUAUUUCGCUCUCCUUUUCUGUUUCAUCUCCUACAAUAUUGGGUGUCACAUUAAGCUCCGAUGGGUUUUCUUUUUUCGACCGGUUCAACAGUGCCAUAAGAGAAAUUCUAGCCGGGGCAUCCUCUUCUGUAGACGGUUGCAGCAUGUAGGGAGAGACAGACGGAGGAUUGCGGCGGGGAUGAUGAAGAUGAUCCUUAAUGCUCUUCCAGGAGAAAAUGGGAUGGUUGUCGGUGUGUCGUUCGUCGACGGCGAGGUUUCGUGGGUAGACCACCUCGUCGUCUCUGAAUAUUUCAACAAGUGUUCUUGUAGUGGAAGAAGAAGAAGAAGAAGAAGAAGAAGAAGAUUGGAAGGCCGUGGCAAGUGUGACGAUUUGUCCGGAGAUUUGGUCCUCAAGUUUACGAAGAUUGAACAGAUCUCGAAGAUCGGAGGAUUCCGUCAUGGUGAGAUUUCCGAUCUGAAGAAACGAACCCCACCGCCGACAAUGGAUUGUGUAAAAAAAUACAGAGGGGUUGAAGACUUGAAGCGCUGACAGAAUCAUAUGGGUAAAUAUGGGUGGAGUCCAUUUAAACUUUAUUAUUUGCAUAAUUGCUUUAAAUGCAAAUUAAUAUUAUAAUAAACUAUUAAUAUAGGAGGUCCGAUGAAAGAUUGUCGGCUGCGAUGAAGCCACACUAUUACUGCUCCGUUUUCAUAAACGGGUAAUCGGUAUACCCGACAACGGGAUCAUAGGUGUAGAAGGUAUCCUUAUCAUACGGAUUCAGACCGGCAUCUGUUUUGAACCGUUGAACGAGAUCCGGGUUGGAUAAAAAGAAACGGCCGUAGGACACAAGAUCCACGUCGCCGCCGGCGACAGCUUUCAUUCCAAGCUCUUUGGUAUAACCGCCACUCCCCAUGAAACAACCUUGGUACGCUUCUUUCCAUUUUAACAUCAUCUCAAUCUCCUCCUCUUCGUCGCCGUUCAGACGCGCCACCCAUCGAGGUUGGGUUACGUGAAGGUACGCUAGCCGCGGGAGGUUGUUCAGUUCUCCGAUUACCGCUAGUCCAAGACUCAUUGGAUCGGAGUCAGUUGCUUCCAUGAUUUCGAUGGUUGGAGAAAUGCGAAGAGCCACGCGAUCUGAUCCGAUAGCAGAGCAGAUAGAUCGGAGGAUUUCGACAACAAAUCGACAUCUGUUGGUUAGAUUACCGCCGUAUUCGUCGAUUCGAUCAUUGACGCCGUCUUUGAGAAAUUGAUCGAUUAGGUAUCCAUGUGCCCCGUGAACUUCGACACCAUCAAAUCCUGCUUUGAGAGCGUUGAUAGAUGCUUGUCUGUAGUCAUCAACGACGGAUGUGAUUUCCGCGGAGGAGAGACGCCGGGGACGGCUGAAUUGUCCGUAUUUGCCGUCAGGAAGAUGGAUUUCACAUUUGCUCGAUAUAGGAUUGUCUGUGGAUGAGACAGGAGCAAUGCCACGAGGUUGAUAAACUGCUGGAAUGCAAACAUCAAUCAAUCGAUCGAUCGAUAGAUAGAUAGAUUUUUAAUUUUGUUAAAUAUAAGCUUUUUUUCCAACCUUGACUUGAAGAUCGGCCGCAGUGCCAGAGCUGGCAGAAGAACACGCCGCCUUUGGCAUGCACGGCAUCCACAACCUUCUUCCACGCAUUGAUCUGCUCAUCGGUGAAGAUACCAGGGGAGUGAGGAAAUCCGGGAGCUGUGGGAGAGAUGCAGGUUCCUUCUGAGAUGAGUAAUCCACCGGGAGUUGUUCUUUGAGUGUAGUACUCGACGUUGGCCGGCUGUGGAAUCCCAUUUAAAGACCUGCAUCUUGACAUCGGAGCUAACACCACUCUGUUCAGAAGCCCGCAAGAAGAAAGAACCAAAAUCAAGAUAGGAACUAGGAAGAAGAAGAUAAAAAAUUAUGUUCAGACACAGAAAAUUCACCUGUGAGCGAGGUCAAAGCUUGCCAUCUUGUACGGCGAGAAGAGUGUCAGCUCUUGCACCGACGACAUUGUAAAAGCAAGGAAGAUAAGUUUGUACUGAUUCUGAUUUCUGAAGUCAUAUAUAUUAUUUUGGAUUGGAUAUUUUGAAGGAAAUCACUAUCAAAUAUUAAUUACUUGUUAGUUGUUAAUUGUCCAUUUUUUUUAUUCAGCUGGUGAGAUAUUUAACAACGAUCGUAGAUUGUCAUUCUUGUCUUGUAAAUGAUCUACUCAUAUAUAUUAAGAAAUAUGUCAUUUUGAAUAUUUCAAAUGAAGCUACGUAUAUAAUCAUUACUCACUUAUGCUGCGACUCCAACCGUACCGCGUCAUUGGAUUGACGUCGUUCGAUGUGAAAUGCAUUGAGUUAAGUCCUAAAACUUGCCCUAUUAUAAUAUCCAGUAUUAUUCAGGUGUGCCGUACAGUGCGAAUGUUAUAUGUUCUAAGUUGAUCAUGUUCAUUAGAUCGACUUUACGUCGUACAUGUGUUAGUGUCUUGUGUAAUACAUUAUUUUAGUUAUUGGAUUAAAUAUUAAUGAAUAUGAUGGUACCCCUAGUCUAUCAGCUCAGGCCCACGCGAGAGCCCAUGAUUGAGACCCAGUAGAGUGAAUAAAAGAGGAAGACCCAGGUCGCCCGACGGGUUUUAGUCCGGGCGGGUCGACCGGGCCGGACGGUUAUGUCCCCAAUGGUUGCAUCCCAAACUUGUCAGAUCCGUCGGGUCGGUUUUAGGUCCGAAAACCAAUAGGAAACUGUAUAAAUACCCUUAGGGGUGAAGUGUAAAGGGGGAGGAGAUACAUUUCAUACUUUUGAGAUUGUUGUAUACAUUAUACUAAUACGAUCAGAAUACGAAUUGAUGACUCACAUGGGUCGGUGUAUUGAAGUACUGCAAUUAUAAACCUAUAAAUAGACCUUCUACCUGUAAAUUGUAAUGUCUAUAAACAGACAAUUAUAAAUGUCUAUAUCAACAUUGACAAUUUAAUAAAUAAAAAUUUAUUAUAUAGUUUAUUCAAUCUUCUCUAUCUCCGUUGUCUAUAAUAUUGUCCAUGUAAUAUUUUGAUUUAUAUAGUUUGAUGUACCGUUUGAUGAUUAAAUUAUUUAAAUCAUAUUUUGAUGAUUAUAAUAGUUUGAUGAUGGUAUAUUGUUUAUCUUUAAUUUAUUUGAUCUUAAUUUAAUGAUGAUGUACUGUUUAUAUUUUAAUAGUUUGAUGAUGAUAUGAUGUACUGUUUAUAUUUUAUUGAGUCUGUGUUGAUUUGAUCUUUUUUAUUGUAUAAGUAAUUAAAAAAAUAGUAAUUUAAAUUUACUGUCUAUAUUAAUUAACAAAAUUAAGAUUUGAUAUUGUUAUGAAUUUAUGAUAUUGUAGGAUUAGAAUUUGAUUGUUUCUGUGGAUUUAAAUAUUUAGAGUAGAGUUUGAAUAUUAAUCAAUAAUAUUUUUAUUUAUAGUUAAUAAUUAAUCAUUUUUUAAAGUAGAGAUUAUCUUUUAAUAAUAGAUUUCCGUCAUGGAUAAUUUUUAAUAACGAAGAUUCAUCAUUAAAAAACCAUCAUAUAAUGUCAUUUUUCUUAUAGUGUAAAGUCUAAGGCAAACAUAUAUGAAGCCGGCAAUAAAAGUUUUAAAAUACCUGAAAAAUUCAUCGAAAUUAGAUCUUUUCUUACCUGCAACUACAACUACAAAUGAGCUAGAUUACCUGCUGAUUAAUAGCACUCCUGAAAGAUUUACAGCAUCCCCUCCAAUCCAACCGUCUUAUAUCCAAGCAGAUUUUGACCAAGACUCGACAACUAGGAUUCAAAUAGCUCACAAUCCAAUUGAUCAUAAACAGACAAAACACAUUGAGGUUAAUUAAGUUACUAAUCCUACCGAAGCUCAUACUCCUCUUGGGAAUCCAGAUAUCAUCCUCCAUCACAUUGCUCUUAUUCAGAUCGUCACUGCUCUCAAGAUCUUCAGAUCCAUAAGAUAAUGUAUAAGUGAUUAGAUAACUGGAUAAAAUUUGAUAAUAAAUAUAGCCCGUCUGUUGAUUAGAUAAUUGGAUAAGAGCUCUAUUUAAAUACUAAUUAACCUCAAUCAAAUGAUCAAAUAAUUAACUAGAUAAAAGAUCAACAGUAAAAGUAACAUCGAUCAAAUGACUAUAUAAAUGAAUGUUGGUUCAACAAAAAAUAAUCAACCUCGAUAUUAGAAUCAGAUAACUGGAUCUUUUUUGAAUAUUUGCUUAAUUUAUUAGUCGAUUUUAAGUUAUUUAGCAAUAAAAUACAAAAAACACAAGAGAUUUUAUUGUUAAAAUUGUUUAUGAAUUUAAGAUAUAUUGUAGUUUAAAUAACAUUUAAUGACCCAAGUUCAAAUACUAAAAUAUAUUGUAGGAAGUAUUGAAAUUAACUAAUAUGUUAUAUAUUUGCUCUAGAAAUGUCAAUGCAGGUAAAUAAAUAUAGAGUUUAAAUAGGUUUAUAUAUGUGUAGAUAUUACUGUUUGCAGAUAUUACUGUUGGAUCAAGGCAGAAGGUGUGGGGUGGAUCGCAUGUGAUCACAUCUCUUUUUUGAUUUAUAUAUUAUCAGAUAGUUUUAACUCAAAAAAAUGACCUGGUUUUGAGCAGUCAUAAAAAGGCAACCGAUAUAAUUGUACUUAUUGAAGCACUACAAAAAAACAGGGCUACGUCCACGGCCAUGAUCAGUGGUCCGGUCUUAAUUUGAUCAAAUCUGUGGCUAAUUAAAUUGAUUAAAUUCUUAGUUAGGGUUAAUUGUGUAUUCAGAUUGAGUGAUUUGAAGAUGGUAAAUGGGUAAAUUAUGAUGUAAUUUAUGUUUAUAUGGGUUCAACCAAACAAUGAUUAAUCCAAUUUCGAUAAAACACGAAAAUUAUGACAUUUAAAGAGAGAAGAUGAAGAGUCAAAAAAAAACUGAAAAGGUUCAUUUCAUUAAUUAAUAUUUAGAACCGUUAAAAUUCCAAUUCACAAUCUUAAUAAUCUAUAAGACUAUAAAUAUUAAAUAGAAUUUUUUUUCAACAUGUACACUGAAGUCUGAACGCCAUGAGUCUCUCCUUCUCCUUCUUUUUUCUCCUCGUCGGGGUUCUGGUUUCUCUUCCGGCGCCGGCUCAAGCUCACGGAUUGGGUAAAGAGAAGGUGACCCAUCUCCACUUCUACCUACAUGACGUUAUCAGCGGCGAUAAACCCACAGCAGUACAAAUAGCUCAGCCAAACGUCACCUUGGGUGUCCAAAGUGCAACCCCUUUCGGAACAGUCUUCGCCAUCAACGACCCCAUCACCUCUCUUCCGGUGAUUAACCCAACAACCAUCGUCGGAGACGCACAGGGUAUAUAUGUCUCGACGGGACUUGAGAAACUGGGUUUGGUCAUGAUGGUCGAUUUCGGAUUCACCCACGGGAAAUUCAACGGCAGUUCUUUCAGCGUUAUGUCUAGGAAUCCGGUUAUGGAGGGAACUGGUCGCGAGGUUGCGGUGGUCGGAGGUCGUGGUAAGUUCCGGUUUGGACGUGGGUCGGCGAGGCUCACCACUUACUAUCUGAAUCCGGCAAAUGGCGAUGCUAUCAUUGAAUUUAAUGUUACGAUCUUGCAUUACUGAAAUAAAAUUUUCCAGGAGGUUUCAAUAAAUUAUAUUUUUAAGGAGAAAUUACAGUUUUGAGAUUGAGUUUUUAGAAAUUUACAUUUUUUUUUUUUUUUUUUUUUUUUUUAUAACGGAAGGUACUUCUCUAGUCUCUACAGAUGUAGAGUUGUCAACCUCUGGAUGAUAUACCAGAGCUAUAUAAUAUAUAAUCGGGUAAAUUUAAAUAGAAAUGUAUAAAGUAAGAUUCGAAUUCUGAAUUUCAGAAAUUUUAACAGUUCCUGAGAUCGAGCUUCUCCAAUAUUCCCUCAGAUCGUCUUCUGUAGCAUGUCGAUGUUCGCUUGAGAAGAUGAUUGUCGGUCGGAAUUUCCAUCGCAAUCCACAUCUGAGCUUUGAACUUUAAUGUGUUUGAACACAAGGUUCCCACCAGUGUUUUGAGUCUUUCCCUCCAACAGAAUUUUCAAUGGGUUAGUGUGUACUCACCGUUCCUGCCUCAUAUUCUCUAGGGAGGUCGGUUGGCAGUCCACUUAAAUCUGUAAUAACUAAUAAGACCACCAUUAGACGUGGAAUCCAAGACGAGCUUACAUGAUCUAUUUUCAAACCGAUACAUCACUUCUAAGGGGAUUGGAAACUCCAACUUUGUUUCAACGGUUAUAUUUCCGUUGACAUUUCGUCAAACAUAUUUCAGUCACCUCAACCCAUGAAAUUGGUACCAAUUUGUUCGGAAUCCACAAAUGAACUUUCCUAGAACAGAUUAAAGAACAGUUGUAAAUUUCUCAGAUAACGUAAUUUUAAUUAUUGAAUUAAAUAUUAAUGGAUACAAUUUGAUAACGCACGACGAUAAAUUUAAGGUAGGACUCCACGUAUCAUUUAUAAUUACAUGUAAUGACAUUAUUGACAUAUAUAUCCUUUUUCUUUUAAAAAAUUACAAUUCUAUGAUCAGUUAAUUGAGAUAGGAAAGUUUUUAUAAACCACUUUUAUAGUAAGUCAAAAAACGUCUCACCUGUAAUUCACACAUAUAUAAGGAAUAAUCCCUUAAAAAAACCUGUGGAUCGUUGGAUGGACUAUGAAUGGAUAGAUUUUCAGGAUCACACAAAAUCUUUAUUUUUUAAUUGUACAUCGAUAUAUUAUCCAAAAAAUCGAAUAAAAAUCUAUUAUCUUUAAUUUUGAAUCAAAGAAUAUUCUAUUCCAACUACUAUAAAUAACUACUCAACAUGCACAGUUUUAUCAUAUCAAAUUCUAGUUUCCUUAUAAACUUAUAAAGAUGGCCGGAGUAAAAUUUGUCGUUCUCAGUGUUCUUGUGUUCCUUCUGUGUUCUUCCGGUUAGCGAUUUUUCGAUCUUAUUUUUUUCGAUUUUUCAGAUGCGAGAAUGUUCUUUUAUCGGAUUUUGGUUUGUUUGAUUUUACAGUUGCCCAUGCAGCUGUUGAAGGUGGAAAAGAAGCAAGAAGAGCUGGACACUUUCAGGUGAAACAAGGAUCGACCCCUAUCGAUUGCACCAAUCAAUGUGAUGGUUGCACUCCUUGCAACCAGGUUCUCGACAACGUCGACCCAGAUCACGCCGUCUGGAAAUGCCAAUGUGGUGGAAGCGAAGCAAGAAGGGCUGGACACUUUCAGGUGAAACAAGGAUCGACCCCUAUCGAUUGCACCAAUCAGUGCGAUGGUUGCACUCCUUGCAACCAGGUUCUCGACAACGUCGAUCCAGAUCACGCCGUCUGGAAAUGCCAAUGCGGCGGCAAAUGAUUCAGGUCUAAUAGUUUUUUUUGGGUGUAAUCAUAUCGUGUCGUGUAAUUGUGUUUUAAAAUAAAUCUUAAAUAAAUUUUUUUUUUAUUGAAAUAAAUAGUCAAUAGUCAAAAUGGGUCAAAAUUUGGGGUUCUCUAAAAUCAAAGUGGAUGGUGUUAUGGUGUGGCAAAUUCGUAAAUUUAGAUAAGAAAUGAGGGUAUAAAUAAUAUAUAAAAUUCCACCACCAAGGUGCAGGCAAGAGGGGGAUGUCUUUUGUCACCGACGAUCGUAUAGAGUAAAAAAGCAGCAGUCAAGAUUCGGAUGGUGGAAGAAGAGAUCUUGAUCUUCUUCCUCUCAAGAUCUGUUACUCUUUGUCAUCUUCUUCAGAUCUAAGAGACGCCGCGAUGGAUCUUCGUCGGAAUCUUCGCUGCGGAAUCGUUUGUUUUUUCCUUUUCUCCGCCGUCGCAUCUGAACAGGUAUAUACGAAAUACUUGAUUUCCGAUUGAAAUUGUAGUAGAUCUGAUUGUUUCGAUGCGAUGCGUUUCAUCAGAUUUCGGGAUCGGAUGACGGGGAGAACGUAUCGACUCAAUCUACUAUGACCUUAGACCGUCGUACUAAAGUCAGCAACUCUAAAACUUCCGUCAUUUUAUUUAUUUAAUUUUAAACAUUUCGCCUUGGUUUUCGAAUUUGCAGAUGUGUUGACCGCGCGGUUGAAAAAGAGGUCGCGAUUGAAGGAGAAAGUGGCGAUGAUGAUAAUCUUGGGGUAUUGGAUGCGUUCUUUACAAGUUUAUCGAUGAUCCUUGUUAGUGAGGUAUUGUGAUGAUUUGUAUGAUUUGUAUCCAUGGAUUUUCAUCCAAAUUGAGAUUAUAGUCCAAGAUACACUAUCGAAGUUAUUGUUUGUUUCAAUUUAUAUUCUUUAUCAAUUAUCAGAUGGGAGACGAAACGUUUAUCAUUGCAGCUCUCAUGGCAAUGCGCCAUCCCAAAGCUAUUGUUUUGUCAGGCGCACUUACUGCCCUCAUCAUUAUGACAGUAUGUAUGCUAAUCUAAUGUUACUAACAAAUUUUAAUUAUAAGUUUUUGAAUAACCACACGAAAUUAUAAUGAGAUAAAUUUGUGUUUUUGGCUGAUUAUCCUUUCCAAAUUUUGUUGUAGGUGCUUUCCACUGGUCUUGGUAGGGUUGUUCCAAAUUUGAUAUCCAGAAAGCAUACAAACAGUGCAGCUACAGGUACUUUCUUGACACUUUUUUAAUUAGACAGCAACAACAGUAAAUUUAAGAUGUGAUUGGUCUUUACUGCCAGACUAUUAGUACUUGGUUGGAUCCCGAUAACCUAAAAGCUUAUAGACCCUGAAAACUAGCUGAUGAUACACCCGGUCCGCCAGAGCGGUCCAAGAACAUCCCCAGGUCUGCUGCCGACCCAAUUCCGGCCCUAGGGGUAUAAGAAUGUCUAAAAAUACCGGCCUCCUAGGAGGAGGAAUGAUACGUUACAUUCAAUACCUGUACUACACAAGAGAGAGAGGGAGUUAGAGAGAUUAAAUCCUAAUCCGAUUGUGUAGGCAGUAGGCCCAUCUCUGGCUAUACAUCAUUACUAGCUUAUAGUUAUGAAGGAAAUUUACGAACCUUGAAGUUCAAGAUUUAAAUUUUAUGAGAGUCUAGACCAAGAUGGAUUAUUGGAGUGAGAUCUAAUAAAAUGACAAGUAUACAUAUAUAAUUAUUUGUUACUAUAUAUUUUUCCAUGUAACUUUUUUCAAUCAUUUUGUCUUGUUUUAUUUCAUCCAAUGUUGGAACAGUACUAUAUCUAUUUUUUGGAUUGCGUCUGCUAUAUAUUGCUUGGAGGUCAGAUUCAAAGACAUCAGCUGCAUCACAGAAAAAGGAAAUAGAUGAAGUAUGUUUUUCUAUUUAAUCUAUUUUUUAAUUAUUUUAAUGGGUUAUUGGUUAAAGAAUAACCCGGCCAGCGCUUGAAGGUUUUGGUUCGCAUGAAAAACUUUGGUUACAUUCUCCUCAACCUUUAGAGGUCCAUAAUUGAUAUGCACUAUGAUUUCAGGUCUUGAAAAGAGUUGUUUACACGUUAGAUUUUUGUGUGUUCCAUCCAUCAUGAUUCAACUCAUGAUAUCUAUUUUUUAUAAAGCACUAAAGUACAAUAAAAUUAUUGGUGUUACAUUGUAAUCGAUGGAUUUAUUAUCAAUAUUUUAGUCGGUUGAGCUAGUCAAUUAUUUAUUUCGACAUUUUGCCAAAUUUUAGGUUGAAGAAAAACUUGAAUCACAACAAGGUAAAUCAUCUUACCGACGAUUUUUUUCAAGAUUUUGCACACCAAUUUUCUUAGAGGUAUUUAUAUUAUGAUACCUUCUUUUUUCCAAAAACUUAAUGGUUAUUGACUUGUUGAUGCUUGUUUCUUGUUAAGUAUUUCAAUAAUUUAUUUUGUGUUUUUCAGUCUUUUAUUUUAACAUUUCUAGCUGAAUGGGGAGAUCGUAGCCAGAUAGCCACUAUCGCAGUAAGUUUUAUUUCUAUUUAGAGUUGCCUUUCACAUUAACUUAUUUGAUUUUAGUUGAUAGAACAUUGUCAUUUGUGAACAUAAUUACGAAAGAAUGUAUUACUAAUCCAGUCUUGUUAUUUAUUGAUGUUUUUUUAAAGUUGGCAACCCACAAAAACGCAGUUGGAGUUGCUAUAGGGGCAACAAUAGGGCACACGAUAUGCACGUCAAUUGCAGUGGUAGGUGGAAGCAUGUUAGCUUCUAAGAUCUCACAAGGUAAGGUUGCUACCAUUGGUGGUUUGCUCUUCCUUGGGUUUUCUUUAUCCUCGUACUUUUACCCACCGAUGUGAAACAGCUUAAAAAAUACAUACUAAUGUGUUAUGUAGUUGCUUUUUAUUAUUAUGUACAAUUGUACAUCACCAGUAAUUCAACAAAGCAGAAAACAUUUUAUGCCCAUUCAUUUUUUUAAAAUUUUUUAAUGAUACAUCUUGUAUUUAGUAUAAAGAGAGAUGAUGUUUUGUAUUUUGUAAUACCACAAACUCUAGUUGUAGUGUUGUAAUCCCAAUAUUAUUGCUUUGUAUGUCAAUACCAUCCACUUUUGUAAUUCUCAAGCCAUCUUCUUUCUUUUUUGAGAAGCAAAAAAUGGAUAUUGGAUAGUAUGCUGCUAUUAACCUGUGGAGUGAAAAAAGAGCAAAAAAAGACGGUUUAGCUAGUGUUUAUGUAUGAUAAUAUGAUGCUUUUGAGUUUUAACAAAUAAUUUGAAACUGUACUGUUGUUCUUGAGACCUCCUCUUGCAGUAGAUUGGCAGAGUUCAGAAAAGUCAUGUGGUGACAAUAUAUUUAUGUGAACACAGAGAGCUGAUUAGUCAUGUGGUGAACACAAAGCUGAUUAGUCAUGUGGUGAACACAAAGCGAACUAUUCUUUAGCUUUUUUUUAAAGUAGGGUUAAUGUCAUGGAUUGAUUUUUUUAUUUUUAGGAUGUCAAACAUUGUUACCAAGAUUUAGGGUUUAGGGAAUUGGCUGGACAGUUUGAGCAACAAUGACUGUUAGAGAGAAUUGGAAAAAGGUACACAAUCAGUAGGAGAAUGGAAAAAAUAAUCAAACCUUCAAAACUGGAGAAUAUUGUUUUGGAAAAUGAUUUGCAAACAAGUGCUCAAGAAGGAUAAUUUUCCAUCAAUUGCAAGAAAAAAUGACCAUAAUUGAAGAAGAAAAAGGAAAGGGCAGUGAAAAUACACCAAUGAGAACUAAUCUUCUAUUGGAACUUGAACUUGAACAUCAGGAGCAAACUCAGUAUCAUCAACAGCUGUCGAAGACGAUGAGGAUGGUUGAUCCAAAUUCUGCUCCUCUAGAAACUUCUUCAUUUCCGUUAUUCGCGUCGUCAUGACACGAGUUACCAGAGCUGGAAAACAAAGAGAGGGUGGGUUUUAAGGCUGUGGAGUUCGAAAUUACGAGAAUUUUUUUGGGAAAUAUAGUGAGUAGUACCUGCAGCGGUGGCGAAGGUCCAAAACCAAAGGAUCUUCAAGGCAGGGCUCUUCUCAUUCCAUCGCCCCAUCGCCGCUAGAUCCGAUCGGAGAGUCGCCUUGUUCUGUUAUCGAAGAAGCCAAAUGGCAAAUUCCGUAAAUAUCAACAAUCAAUUUAAGAUUUUAUAUAAACAAACAAUAUAAUCGGAUCAUAAGCGAUCCGAUUAUAAUAUUAAAACGUAUAUAAAAAGGAAGAAAGCGAGGGAUUAACGAAAUUCGAAAUCCACACUUCCAUCUCCUUCGUCACACUCCACCAUCCCAUUCUUCUUUUUUCUCUCUCGCUGAAAUGACCUCUCCGAUGGAGGUCGCUGACACUGACACUUCGAUUUCAGACUCUAUAGGAAAUUCGGGGACAUCUCCAUCCGUUCCCGAUCCAUCGCUCAACGACGACUACAUCUUCGUUUCAGGUGAACGAAUAAUCACUAUGUUGCCGCCUGCUCCCAAUUUCUAUUUUUAGGGUUUUUAUUUUAUUUUAAUUUUUCAGUGGAGGUUUGCUUGAAACGGGAAAGUACAGCUCCCCUGAACGACGUCAAGGAAGCUGUUGAAAGGUUGACUAACAGUUUCCUGUGCUUUGUCUGGUUUGUUUUGUGAUCUACUGAUCCAGUUUUUCAUUGUUGUGUAAUUGUUGAUUGAUGUUUGGGGGUUGUAAAUAUGAGAAUUUUGUGUCGGAUUGAUGUUUUUUGGAUAGGGAAACAUUUAGGUACUAUAAUUUUUUUCACGUUUUUGUUUUAUUCUGAAAAAAAUCCUUUUAGAAUGCUUGAAAAGAGGAGCAUGAGUUAUUCUGAUGGACUUAUUCCGGUGCCUCAAGAUGAUAUUUUUCUCAAUGAAAACGUCAAAAGGAUACAAAUAUCUGACACAGGUGACUAUGCGAUGUUUUUUUAAUCUUUAUUGUAUCUGUUAUUAGUUGAAAAAACUAUAUAUAUUGUAGCACGUCUAUUAAUAUUUUCCUGUUUAUAUGGUUGAUCUAGAUGAGUGGGCAGAGAAUAAUGAAGUUCUUUUGUUUUGGCAAGUUAAACCCAUUGUGCAUGUAUUUCAGGUGAUUUUGCAUUUUAUUUUAUUGAUAAGCUAUGUCUGAUUAUUCUGUGUUGAUGACUCGAGCAUUAACAUAUUGUAAAAUCAUUUAGUUGCAGUGUGGAUUUUGUUCAUGUAACUGUAGACCAUGCAGUGAUUUUUGUUGUGUAUUUUAGAUCACAUGCCAAUGUCUGUACAGAAGCAAUCAAUGAGAUCCACCUAGCUGGACAUGUUUAAACUUUAAACAGUAGGCAUUUUAGAAUAAAAUAACUUAUUUGAUGUUAUCUGGACAGCUUAGUGAAGAAGGACCUGGUGAGGAGCUGAGUGGUGAGGAAAUGCUUUCUAGUUUUAAUGAAUGGGAUCUUCCUUCCAGAGAGUUUGAUGGUAUGUGGGAAAGGUCUGUCUUUUAUUUCUGUUGUAUGAAUUUAAACUGUCAAUUCGAAUUCUUCAAUUGCAUCAUAAAAAAAAAUCAAUUUAUUUGCAGUUUGAUCUAUGAAAGUGGUCUUAAACAACGUCUUUUGCGGUAUGCUGCCACUGCUUUGCUAUUUACUGAAAGAGGCGUAAAUCCUUGUGUCAUUUCAUGGAAUAGGUAAGCACUGAAAUUCAUACCCUUUAAAAAAUACACAAUAGGUCUUUUUGCUAAUAAUAGUUGAUUUCAUGGUGAAAAUUAUUUUUACUCCAAUUUGCUAAUAUUUAAAUAAUCACAGGCAUUCCUACUUCCUAGUGUUGUUAUCUGCAUGUCCACAUAUUUUCAUUUGUAUUUUACAGAAUAAUCCUCUUGCAUGGGCCACCAGGAACAGGGAAGACAUCUUUAUGCAAAGCUCUUGCUCAGAAGCUUUCAAUCCGCUUGAAAGACAGGUAGAGGGAGAAUUGCAGCACCUCAGGAUAUUUCUCAGAUUUUCAAUUCGUAAUUUAUUAAUAUUUUUUAUUCAUCAAAAUAGAUAUUCCUAUUGUCAGUUGGUGGAAGUUAAUGCACAUUCUUUAUUCAGUAAAUGGUUUUCCGAGAGUGGCAAGUUGGUAAGAAACUUGUGCUCUAUCCAUCUUAUGAAAUCAAAGUAGUACGCAUUUUCCUAUAUAGUUUUAUUCACUUUCCCAUGCCAGGUUGCAAAACUUUUCCAAAAAAUCCAGGAUAUGGUAGACGAAGAAAACAAUUUAGUUUUUGUUUUGAUUGGUGAGUUUUCAAGUUUCAAUUGAUUUUCCUCUAUCAACAAUUCCAUGUGAAAACAGAAAAUAAUGACUUUAAAUCCUAAAUGAUAUUAGAAAUAUGAUGCUAGUUUCUCUCUCUAGAUACCUCGAUUCUCAUUGAUACAACACCCUUGUUUAAGUCAUAUAUUCAAUUAUUUAUUUCUUAAGAAUUUUAAUUUUAUGUGAGUGGUCUUGUGAGUUGCGACCACUAGUGUUUGCUUCAUUGUUUGAUUUAUGAGAUUGGAAGUUCAGACCGCCAGCACUAAUUUAUCAGUGGUUCAUUGAUUUGCACUUUGCACUCUGCAACCAUUCUUUUUUGAAACAAAAUGAAUAGUUUCUAAUCUAUGUUGUGCAUUCAUUAAUCAAGCUUUUUCAGGCGGCGAGGCGACCAGGCGAUGCCUGGGGUCGCAUAUUGCAUAUGCGAGCGUCUGGUCGCAUAUGCUACCCCAUAUGCGACAUUUUUUAUUUUAUUUUUUUACUUACAAAAAAGUGAAAAAACCCUUAAAGUAGUUGGUAAAAACCUCCGGUGAGCUUGAAGGAGAGGUCCGGCAGGAUUUCUGUUUUUUUGGCAAGGGAGAGGGUGGCAACAGUUAUAUUUUCAGAUUUAGGUUUUUUUUACUUAUAUAUAGGAUUUGUUGUUUUUUAUUUAAUUGGGUGUUUAUUUUAAGGUCCUUAAGCUGUUACAAAAUAAUAUUAUUCAUUACAAUUUUUUAAUUUUUUACUUGGGUAAAUGGGUCGGGUUAAGCCGGAUCUGACCCGGAUCUGGCUAAGCCCCAUAAAUAUGCGACCCCCCAAAUAUGCGAUGGGGGGAUUGCGCCUGGUCACAUAUGCGACAAAUCAAAAACCUUGGCAUUAAUUACUUUUUUUUUGACAUUAUAGAUUAAUAUUAUUUUGGUCAUUCAGUGAUUUUUCUUCUUCUAAUAUUUAUGUUGCAGAUGAAGUUGAAAGCCUUGCUGCUGCUAGACAAGCUGCUUUAUCUGGAUCCGAGCCAUCAGAUUCUAUCAGGGUACUUUUUUGUAAAUUUUAUAAUAUCAUAGAUACAUGGGCGAACCUAAUUUAGGUUAUUUACCUUAUUAAACUAUCGAAUCAUUGAUAUUAAAUUUGUCUCCAUUUACAGGUUGUCAAUGCUUUGCUAACUCAGAUGGAUAAGUUAAAAUCUUGGCCAAAUGUCAUAAUUCUUACAACUUCAAAUAUAACUUGUGCUAUUGGUAUGCUAUUAGUUUUUUAAGAGUUAAUAUCACUAAAUCAGGGCAUAACAAUUUACAAUUCUUAGUAUUCUGCAAAAUAAAAUUUGGGUAUCAGUUAAGCUCAUUUUAGUUUAGAUUGCAGAUAUUGCUUUUGUCGAUCGAGCUGAUAUCAAAGCGUACAUUGGCCCUCCAACUCUUCAAGCCCGCUAUCAGAUACUUAGAUCAUGUCUCGAAGAACUUUUGCGUACUGGAAUACUAACAUAUUCUAAGGUGCGGGGGUUAGAUCUUUCUACUGUUUUACUUUUACAUAUAUCUUUUUUGAGGAAUAAAUGAAAGUUUGUGCUUGUUUUUUUGAUUAUGACAUGAAUAAUGAAUGAUAUAAUAUUAAAUUUGACAUUGAACUAACAGUUGCCAACACUUCCAAGCUAUUUGACACUGAAAGAAAGGUUGAGUACAAUUGAGAAACAUAGUGACGAAGGGAAGUCUGUCGAAAUACCAAGACUUUUGCUAGAAGCUGCAGAACUGUCCGAGGCUAGUCGUUCAAUCUUCCAUAUAUAUAUUAUAUAUAUAUAUAUAUUGUUUGUUGUUCUUGACUAAUUUACAAUCCUUUAUUUGUUGCCUUUAGGGAUUGAGUGGGAGGACUUUAAGAAAGUUACCUUUCUUGGCCCAUGCGGCUGUCGCGAACCGUAAGUGUGAUAUCAUUAGGUUCAUUCAAACAUUAUCAGAGACUGCUAGCAGGGAGGUUUCUGAAUUACCUUCAAAUUGAGUUGAGGUACCCAUCAAACCAACAUCAUCACUACAUCUUCUUCUAAAGAGUAUAUGUAAAACUAAAUUGUUGGUAAACUCAAGCUUAAAGUAACAAUAGACACUAUUUACGCCUGAUGAUCACAGUUCUACUGAUCAGAGUGAUUAUUUUUUGCAGUUUAGAGAUGAGUCAUGAAGGGUUUGAUUUCAUUUGUCAUCAUUGAAAAAUUUUGGAGACAGAAAUACUUCAUUACCAACAAAAUGUAGUUUAUUGCAUUCCUGAUAAUAAGUUUGAUAAAGAUGAAUGAAACCGAAAACUGGACAGCAGAAAGUUUCCUUAAAAAAUAUAUGUAUAAAUAACAUACUAAGGUUCAACUGUUGUGAUCUGUUGCCAUACUCCAUCGACCUCUUCUUUCCACAACGUGACAUUGUCGUUACCAUCAGCAACAGCUAAGAUGUUCCCAGUCAAAGACCAAGUGACUCUCCAGACAGGUGACUUGAAAUCAUUCAAUAUCCUUCCCGCCCACUGAUCGCCCUCCUUAGCCACCGUCCACACAAUGACAGUCCCAUCCUCAGAGGCACUUGCAAUUGUGGACUUGGGAAGACCCAAGUUAGGUGCCCAUGCGACGUCUCUAACCCAAUUCGUGUGCAUUUGAAGAGCAGGGAAGCAAUCCAAUUUCCAGCUACCAUUGUACAGCUUCCAGACUUUAACUGUUUUAUCUGCUCCUCCCGAAGCAAGUUUCUGCACUGGAUCUAAUGACCCUGAACCGACCAGCGCACCGGGAGCUGUGGAAGGCGCCCAGGACACAGAUGUGACGCCAAUUGGGUGAGCCUGAUCGAUCUUCGUGGUUUCCCAUCCACUACCAUCGGGACGAGCAGAGAAAACGGAGAUGUUUCCAUCAGAUGACCCACAUGCCAGCCAUUGACCUAGUUCGUGAGGCGCCCAUGCGAUCGAAUUCACCGAUGAUUUAUGCUCCGUGAAUACAUGCUCCUGAGUCCACUCGUUUGGGUUGUUUCCUUCCUUCCAGAGAAUCACACUACCAUCGUAUCCACAAGAAGCAAUCAUCGACCCGAAUUUGGGAUGCCCCCAAGCAACUUCCCAAACGGGGCCGUUGUGGCCUGUUAAAGUGGCUAGAUGCUGCUGAGAGGAACCACUGACGCCGAUUAUCUUGAUGGUUGCGUCGGAGGAAGCUGUGGCCAGGCGUUUUCCGUAAUAGUCCAUGGACAGAUCAUGGACGAUGUCCUGAUGACCGGUUUCGAUCUUCUGGGAAGGCAUCUUGCGUCAAUUUCCGAUCGGAGUAACCGAGUAAAGUAGAGUUCCGUUGAGAAUUAUUUGGGGACGAUCCUGAAUUAUUUAUUUCCUAGGCGAUCACCACCACGUCAAUUAAUAAUCCAGAAAUAUAGAUAAAUAGCAGAAGAAAAAACAGAGAGAUUCACCUCGCCGUCUUCCUCCGCUGCGAUCGGCAGAUCGUCCUCCUCCGACAGGUAACCGAGAUCUCACCAAUUUGUGAGUGACGCUGAAAAUGCGAGAUCGUGAUUUUGUGUGACUUUUAUUGGGUCUGACUUUAAGGCCCAUUGGACCAAAUUAAGAAACCUUUUAAAAUAAAAUCUUUCCCUCUCAGAAAAUUUAAUAGUUACUUUUAAAUAUUGGAUAAAAAAAAUCAAUUAAAUUCAAAAAAAUUCUUUUAUAUAUGCAUUUGGAUUUAUGACCAUCUCAAAAAUUGGGAUACAAAAAAUAUAAAUAUAAAUUUCCGGUAGUUCCCGACGUCGUUGAUCGUCGGAAACAGUUAAAAAUUUGAUGAUACAUAUAAAUAUACAUAUAUAAAUAGUUCUGUAAAUAUAUCGAUGUCAUCUCCGAUCCGAUUAAAUCCGAUGAGUUCAGACGGUAGUGCAAUUUAGUGCUGGCUUGACGACACCGAUGAUAGUAGGCUUGACGACGUUCUCACAAGUUGAAUUGGCCACUGCUCCUCCGACCUUGUUUUUAAGUUGAAUUUUUUCGAACGAGAGACCUGUGCAUGGAUUUGACUUACUACACAAGAGUUUAAUGGCCACCGGCAAAGUUGAUGUGCCUUUAAUGUUGCUGAACUUGAUGUCCGUAAUCUUAACUUUUGAAGACGUGGUUUUUGGGCAAUUUCCGGCAGGGCAGUAUUGCUGAUCAAUGAUGAUCGGAUUUUCGACGCUGCUCAUGAUGAUAUCGUCAAAUGUGUAGUUCUUGCAGAUCAGAGGGAAAGAUUCGGACCAAGUUUUGAUUCGAACUCCGUUCAUUGUGAGAUGGAACUUGCAGGUUUUCACUAGAAUGUCGGUGACAUCCUUAUCGUCCUUGUACUUUCCGAGACUCCCCACGCUGAUACCAUGUCCUGGUCCGCACUUGACACCGGUCACUGUGAUGCGGCUGUUGGUAGGACCAAUAGAGACGCAAUCAUCUCCGGUUUUGAUUGCGGUAUCGGUGAUGGUGACUCCGUCUGAAAGUCCGAUGUGGACUCCGUCGGUGUUCGGACUUGUUUCCGGUGCAGUGAUGGUCAGCUUUGUGAGCUUCAGAUUUACGCACUUGUAGACCAUUAUGUGAAACAUUCUGCUGUCAAUCGACGAGAUGCCUUCAACGGUGGAAUCAUUGAUGAAGCUGAAUUGAAUGUUCGUCGGAAAUACUUUUCCGUUACGCUUGUUUUUUGGCCAUGUAUCCGCACCCAUACCGUUGAAUGAACCAUUUCCGGUGAUCAACAUGCCGGCCAAUCUCUCAAACAUAAUCCAAUUGUUGGGCUUCUCCGGCAUUGUUUUCAAGACGGCUGGAGCAAUGAUUCUUCCAUCUAUCUGGAUCACCAUUUUCGCCGUGCAUGGUCCGGAGAAGGCCACUGGUCCGACCAAGUAUGCUCCUUUCGGAACCACGAACUUCGCUGUCGGUCCAGUGUAGUUACAUGCCGCCGUCCAUGUAUCUGCAAAUGCCGCGGUGCUGUCAACUUUGCCGUUGGAUACCGCCUUGAAGUCGGAGACGCUGAAGGUUCCGUUGACGGCGACGACGGCGACGGUGGUGGAGAUGAAAAAGAAUAAAAUUGAAGAGGAGAUGAAGAGGAUUGAAGCUACGAAAUUCAUUUUUUAUUUUGGUGGUUUGAAUUUAUUUUUAUUGGGUGAUUGUUGUUUGUGUUGUGUUGUUGUUUGUGUUAUUGUGGGAUUGGUUUGAUUUAUAAUGUUUUUUUCCAUUUAUUCAUACUGUUUUUUCGAUGAGUCAAGUUAUUCUCGUUCAUAGAUUUUGAAUUUUUGUUUCACGCUAUUUAUAAAAUUAACUAAUUUUCCAACUGUUUUACAUACUAUUUCAUUUUCAACCGAACAAAUUAAACCUCAAUGCUAUUAACAUCUUCCUAUUAUUUAGGGUUUCAACUAUAUUAGAUUUAUAACUGUUUACAACUAUUAAAAUAUAUACAUUAGGUCUAAGAAUUAGCACAACACGACCAUUAAUUUUUUACACGAAAAAAAAUUGUUACGAUUACAUAUACAAACACACAAUUAUUUUAUUGAUAAUAAUUAUUUUAUUAUUUUAAUAAUAAUAAUUAUCUAUGGUAUAUUUUCUUAUUUUAUCCUUAUUAUAUAGUUAUUAUUUUACCCUUAUUAUUUUAUAAGUGUAAUAUUUUAUUUAGAACUUAAGAGGUUGUAUAUAAAAAUAUUAUUAUAUAAACGAUAAAUAGAGGUGAGAUUCCCUCUCCUCAAGGCUGUCAACGGGUCUGGGUUUGGGACCAAUUUCGGACCCGUCAAAGGAUUUAGACCCGACUGGACCCGGACCUGGCUAUUUUAAAUGUUAGAAAGAAAAAAAUAUUAAUAUUUUAAUAAAUUAAAGAUUUAAAUAUAAAUAUUCUAACUUAAGAGUUUAAUAUAAAUACACCAAUAUUUGUUUAUUAUGUUUAUUUAUUUUACUACAAUUUAUUGACUAUUUUUAUAUUUUUAAUUAUUUAUUAUUUUUAGGUUUAAAAAAUUUAUUUAUUUGGACCCGGCCCAGGCCUAGAUUUUUUAUGGGUCUGGGCCGGGCCCAGACAAUUGAGUACUGGACCCGGACCCGGCCCAGAUCCGGGCCAAGUUCAUGGGUAUGGGGUCAGUUUAACCGUCCCAGACCCAGUCCAUUUACAACAUUUCCCGUACCCGGUGACUGGCCCGUACCCGGACGGAGGGGAUGAUUUUCCUAUCAAAGAAGAAAAUUCCCUGUCCCUGUCCCCUGUCGAAAUCCCCAGUUAUUUCCGGGUACGGGGAUGGGGAUUGAAAUCCCCGCCUCGGCCCAUCCCCGUACCCAGAGAAAAUUGAAUAUAGUGAUAUAGACCUUAUAAAAAAAUUAUAUUGUAUAAUUUAUAUAAAUAACCUUAUACAAUAUAUUAAAUAGAUAAAUUUAUAUUUAAAAUUGUAAAAUUAAAUCUAUAUCAUAAAUUCCUAAUUAAAAACAUAAAUUUUUUAAAGUUAAACCUAAUUCUUAUUUUUGUAACCUUGUUCAGAUGUUCCACCGUCGAGCGUCGAUAUCUUCUUCCGUCGCUGUCCUAAGAUAAGCUUCGCAUGUCUAAAUUUUUUUAAAUGAAAUAGGGUUGAGAGAACUUCCACCGGUGUACGCUUGUUCCACCGCUUGUUUAAAUAAUUUCCACCGUUUAUGGAUUUUCUAAAUUAUUGUUCCACUUCUAAAUUACAUUAGUAAAUAGUAACAUAGCAAGUAAGUUAGUAACAUUAGUAUUUUUAAUAAAUUACUGUUUAAAAUAAUAAUAAAAAUAAUAAUAAUAUUUUGACCGCGGAUCCCGUCCCCACUCAAUUAUAUUAUGUUUUCGUAAUAUCGGGUCAUAUAAUUUGUCUGUCAAUUUACGUUUCGUGUAAUCGUAUCGUGUCGUGUUUUUAGAAAUAAACACUAAACCGAUACUAUUAUCAAUCGUGUCAAAAUUUCGACAUUAACUCGACAUUAUUAUGAACGUGUCUUGUUAAAAUCGUAUUGUGUGUAUUUUAUACAUUACAUUUCAUUUUAUUACUCUAUUAGUUUAUUUAGUCCGACCCACAUUUUCAAAGGCCCAUUAGUUAGAUCACUAGUAUAAAUUAUUUUGACCCACGUUUUCAAAGGCCCAUUAGUAAGAUCACUAAUAUAAAUUAUUUUGACCCACAUUUUCAAAGGCCCAUUAGUUAGAUCACUGGUAUAAAUUAUUUUUUGUAACAAUUUAGUUUAACUUUUUUUAUUUUAAUCUAAAUCUAAAAACUUGGGUUCUUCCCCUAACCAUUGGUCUUCUCCUCUCCGAUGGAGUGCUCCGUCAUAGCCUUCCAUACACACUGUUCCUCGGGUGUCAAGCUUUAUACUUUAUAGAUGUACAACUAAUUGCAUUUUCAAUAUUAAUUUAUAACUAGUUGUAUGUUCAGUAUUAAAUAAUAUAUAACUAGUUGAACACACAUUUAGCUAGUCGGUCGGAGUUUUUCUCCUCAACUCAUAUCCUGAAAUUAAAUGUCUCUUAUAAAGAUACGUAGAAUCAACAUGAGAUAUAUAGAUUAGAAAUUAAAAUAUAAAAUAUAAAUAAUGUAAGUGGUGAUUCAGUAUCUCAAAUUUGGUCAUAACGUAUCAGCAAAUAGAGAUUCGGAUAUCCUAAGAUGAAUUGAGGUACUCAUAUAGGUUUGAAAAGGUUCCAAAUCAACUCAUGAGAAUGUCGACUUUUACAAAGUCGACUUCACCCAGGUCGACUUUCUCAUAAGUCGAACUGGAUAAAGUCGACCUCUGAGAAAGUUGAUCCCAAAAAGUCGAAUUGAAACCAGAUCUGAGCGGUUACGAUCCAAAUGACCAGAUUGCCCCCAUAAAAAGUCUUAUAAAUAGGGGGCAUCCCUCAUUCAUUUGGGUAUGUCAUUCGGAGUGAGUGAAGUUCCAGCGAAUCAGAGCCAAAACAACUUAGGAGUUCAGUCGAAUUUUCCCGCGGAGUUCCCCGUCUGACGUUUGUUCGAAACGUCGUCAAACACUGAUCGGAUUACACCCUCAUCAGUAAGCUUUAAGAUUAAGGGGCAAAUGCCCAUCUAUGAUCAAAGUUCACUAUUCUUAUUUUUGUUCAAUUGUUUUAGGGGAUUUUAUUUAUUUUUCCUUGUAAUUCUUAUUUUAUCGUUAGUUUACAGUGUAUUUAUUUUAGUUUAUUGUGUAAGAGAAAAUUUCAGAAGAGUCGCAACUUUUUUUUAAAAUGUUCGCCCAAUCGAUCUCAGCCGUUCAUUUUGAAAUCGACGAUAAGAUGAAUUUUUUUUAUAAAUUAUGAUGACCCGUACGUAAUGAUUUUAAGCAUUUCACUCAUUACCAAUUUUCAAUUAUUUUUUCAUAUUUUCGAAAUUAAAAUCGAUCAAAAAUAUUAAAAUGAAAAGUUUUUGGAAAUUAAAUUAAUUAUGAUAUAUUGAUAUCUGGAUCGAUAGAUUUUAAUUAAUUUGUUGUAAUAUUUUUAUUUGUGUUUAUUUAUUUAAUAUUAAUUUGUGCUUUUUUGACCUAAAAAAUAUCUAAUUUUUGCUUACAAAAAAGACCUAAUUUCAAUUUUGUUUUUUAAUUUUUUGCACAUCGAUGGAUUUUUUGUUACUUGAACCUUUGAAUCUUCAAAAACAUUAAUAGUUAAUCUGAUCAGUUAAACUAAUCUUCUUUUAUGACCAGUUGAGUUUUUUUUUUUUAAAUUUGAAACCAGUUGAUAAUUUAUUAAUUUCAAAACGUGAAAAAAUCGUAGACAUGGCUGUUGGCCAUUAGCUUUUUUUGUACAUUAUGGUACUUGAAAAUUGUAUUAGGGUUUGAAAUUUAAUUAUAAAGGGUUGAUCAGGCGGUGGAGCAAUUUAGUGCAGGCUUGACGACACCGAUGAUAGUAGGCUUGACGACGUUCUCACAAGUUGAAUUGGACACUGCUCCUCCGACCUUGUUUUUAAGUUGAAUUUUUUCGAACGAGAGACCUGUGCAUGGAUUUGACUUACUACACAAGAGUGUAAUGGCAACCGGUGUCGCCGACGUUCCUCUGAUGUUGCUGAACUUGACGUCCGAUAUCUUGACGUUUGAAGACACGGAUUUUGGGCAAUUUCCGGCAGGGCAGUACUGUUGAUUAAUGAUGAUAGGAUUCUCAACAUCACUCAUGAUGAUAUCGUCAAACGUGUAGUUCUUGCAGAUCAUUGGAAAAGAUUUGGACCAAGUUUUGAUUCGAACCCCGUUCAUCGUUUUCGAAAUCUUGCAGGUUUUUACCAAAAUAUCGGUAACAUCUUUGUCAUCUUUGAACUUUCCAAGACUCCCCACGCUGAUACCAUGGCCUGGUCCGCACUUGACACCGGUCACGGUGAUGCCGACGUUGGUUGGGCCUAUGGAAACACAAUCAUCUCCGGUUCCGAUAUCGGUGUCGGAGAUGGUGAUUCCAUUGGAAAGACCGAUGUGGAUUCCGUCGGUGUUGGGACUUGUCUCCGGUGCAGUGAUGGUUAGUUUCGUGAGCUUUAGAUUCGAGCAUUUGUAGAUCAUUAUGUGGAACAUCCUGCUGUCAAUCGAUGAGAUUCCUUCAACUGUCGAAUCGUUGAUGUUGCUGAAUUGAAUGUUCGUCGGAAACACUUUUCCGUUACGUUUGUUGCUUGGCCAUGUUCCCGCACCCAUGCCGUUGAAUGAACCUUUUCCGGUAACCGACAUACCGACCAAUCUCUCAAACAUGAUCCAGUUAUUAGGUUUCUUCGGCAAUGUUUUCAAGACGGCCGGAGCUAUGAUUUUGCCAUCUAUAUUGAAGACCAAUUUUGCCGGACAUGGUCCGGCAAAGUCUACUGGUCCGACCAUAAACGAUCCUGAUGGAACCACAUAUGUUGCUGUCGGACCAGUAUGGUUACAUGCUGCACUCCAUGCAUCUGCAAAUGCCUGAACAUAAAGAUUCACGUUAAUUUUAAAUCCAGUUUUUGAAAUGAUUAAAUAUAAACAUGAAUAAAAGUAGAAAACGAAGAGAAUCAUUAUCUCAUGAGAUAUUUUUUUAAAGGCAUCUCAUUUGAAUCUUCUCUUUAUAUAGUGAGAACCAUAAAAAUGAGAACUAUAUGAGGACUUUGCAUUUUAACCCUUACAUCUAGAUCUAAUGGUGAUUUAUAUUGUUUAUUAUUUAAAUCAUUUAAGGAUGAAGAUCCCAUGUAGACAUUUCAACGGUCGUGAUCUGAUUUUCACAAAAUCCUCACAUAUCAAGUUCUCAAUAGAAUCGUUCUGUAUAUAUAUGUAUAUAUAUAUUAAGUGAUUGAUUGAUUAAUUGUACCGCGGUGCUGUCAGUUUUGCCGUCGGCCACGGCCUUGAAAUCGAAGACGUUGAAAGUUCCCGGAGGAGAAGCGGCUCGGACGACGUCGGAGAUGAUGAAGAAGAAGAGGAGGAUUGAAGUUAUUUUAGGAACUAUGGAAUUCAUUUUUAUUUAGGAUUGUAUAGAUAUAUAUAAGGUUGGGGUGAUUGUUAUUGUGUUUUUAUUUAUUGUGGUGAGUUUACAUUUGGUUUUGUUUUGAAUUUAUAGUAGUUGUGAAGAGUUUGAUUUGAAUUUUGAAUCUAUUUAUAAAAUAUUCUGUUUUUGUAUUCUAUUUAUCCAUGAUUUUAGGUAACUGAAAGAUAUCAUAAAUGAUUUCGUUAUAACUAAGUAAUGUUAUUUUCAGUGAGCUCGCCUAAUAUGAGUUCAAUAGUGUUCAAGUCUGUACGGAGAUGUGUGCAACCAAAAUAUUAAAAAAUAAUAUAAUUAAAAGACAAUCCAGAUGACUUUGCAUAAUAUUCAACGAUUCAGAUAGGGUGAGCGUUUUUGAACUCACCCUAUGCUGAGCUCACACCUGGAAAAAGUUGUAAUUCGUUAAUUAGUUAAUAUUGUCAAUGAUUUAAAUUGUAUCAGGUUAAUUGGCCCAGGAAUUAAGAAAAUAUCAACUCAAAGGACCUAGAUGUAAUAAAGGAAUACUUGUGUGUUGUAAUACAAUAGUUGGGUUGAUUAUAAAUAGAGUGCACAUCAGGCGCGCAUAUGCGAUUAGUAAAUUGAUUAAUAGCUAAUCACAAGUCUACUACUCUACCACAUCCUGCUUCCUACCUAGCUAUCUACCUAUGCAGUUCGUCCUGUCAAGUCAGUUAAAACUGUUUAUUUAAUUGAAACCAUUAUAUCUGAUAAAACCAAGACCACCGUCUUCUACCAAGACCAAAGUCUUUAACAUAUUACCACCUUAAACCCCCUUCUAACUUCCUACAACCGUAACGUUUCGUACACUCUUCUUUCCUUUUCCAAUCUGUCUUCCCUAGUUACUGUUAAGGUGGUUUCUACGUUUAUCGUUCCGGUGUUCCGGUGGGUUCUGCGUUCUGGUCUUCUACUAUUAAGCUGGCUUCCAUCGUCGUUGAGGUCGAUUGAUAGUUAUGGGUUCCUCGUCCUGUUGAAGACAUACCAUUUCUUCUGCGUUAUAGGUUUUUCGGUUUUAACAGGUUAGUCGUACACCUCGUUGUCCUCUGAAGGAUCGCGAAGAACCCAGACGGAAGCCACCUUAACAGUAGAACGCAGAAAUGGAAAUAGGUGAGUAUGAACCCAGAACACAGAGAACGACGAAGAACACAUAUCAAUCGCCUUCAUAACAUACAAAACAGAACGAAAUCGACGAUGGCGUACUGGGUUGAUUAUAAAUAAAACAGCAGUGCACACCUGAUCCAAAUUGAUUAUAAAUAACUGUUUAGUUUUCAAAUUUCCGUUAAUCUGUUGUCAUUGUACGUUCUUCCUCAAUUUUUCACAUCGCCGGCGUACUGAUUCAAUUAUUUUCGCCUCAUCGUUGAGAACAUCGAAUCGCCUUGGCGUUAUAAUUUAGUUUUUAUAUUCUAUUUAUCCAUGAUUUUAGGUAGCUGAUAGAUAUCAUAAAUGAUUUCGUUAAUAGAUCCAUUAGGUAUUGUUUAUGAAGAAGAAUUGUUUGUUGUUCAAAGAAUAAUAUAACUUGGAUAAAAAAAACAUGUUAGCAUUUACACCAAAGUUUCUUGACUCGAAAAAUAAACCACACUAUCAAUCUAACGAUAGAAAUCCUUUUGACAAAUCAUCAUUAUACUAAAACCAUUUUCUGCGUGAAAAAUCAGCCACACUGUCAAUCUUUCUAGCAUCUCACUUCAUAAGAUCCACCCUUCGUGAUAUAACGCACCCAGUCGACAGUUUUGUAACCACUUUUCUCCCAAACCUGUAAGAAACAUGCGACAAUAUGAAUUACUAAAAUAUGACAAGUACAAUGAAUAGAAAUCCAUUGCUUUGGGUAUGACCUCAUGACGCAUACCUUCAAGAAUCGAACCCGAAGCCCUGAUGCAGUGAACAUUGGGACCUGCGCAAAAUAUGAAUUUUUAUGGUAUAUUGAACCUAAUUAGUAAUUAUCAACCUUUUUUUAAUUUUAAAAAUCUCUGUUCAUGUAACUUGUACAAACUUUCGUAUGUACGUUCAGGAUGCAUGCACAAAAACACAAUGAAUAUGUACGCUUUUGCAUAAAUGCUCCUAGUGGUAACGCAUCCUGAACCAUGGUAUGCACAUCAAACCAUUUGAAGCAACAUACAAAAUUUCUAAUCCAAAUUUUAAAUUUUCCACAUGCUACACAUUCUGCUAAAUAUAUACAUGAAUGAUAGAUGUGCAAAGAGGCUAUGGAAAAGAAAAAAAUAAUCCAGAUUCCAGGCUUAAUAAAAGGAUGUAACAAUAGAGAAUCUAUACAGAAUAUAAUACAAUCCCAUAUUAAUAAUAUGACAGCCAAUGAUUGAACAGUGAUCGCUGAUCAUACCUGGAAUUCCAUUUGAAUAGGUGGUUUCGUCCAUGUCUUCUUUUCACCCAUCGUAGAAAUCAACUCAACCUCUGCACUCAUGGUUGGUUCAGUUUGUCCAGGAAAUUUUCUUAUCCUGGAAAUUUGUAAAUAAGGUCAAUGGCAUAAAAAUAUUAUUUUUAAGGAUAAUAAAAAAUGAGCACCAAUUAUAAAAUAAUAAAGAACAGAAAAUUGAUCAAAGCCUAAAUUGAAAUAUAAGAUGCUUUUCUCAAUACCGAUGGCAAACUGUUUCUCAUUUAGUAGUUAAAAUGAACAAACAUAAAAUAGUACUGGUAAGAUUGAUUAUAGUAGCUAUAUAAUGAAAUGAAACAAUUUAAUUGAAUUCAUACUUACUUCCAAACUAAGCAAUCUAUGGAAGAAUCGUAUUUGGCUCGACCAGCUGUCACUUGAAAAUUUGCUUUCGCAGUUUGCUUUGGUACAGGAAUCUUGAUGAUAACCCCAAGAGCAAUCAUUUUUGCUCCAAAAACACUCUUCACCUGCAAAUUAAUAGCAACAAUUGACAUGAAUGAGACAAUAAUAAAGUCCCAUCGCAUGAUAGUAUAGUAUAAUACAAACCUUAACAUUAACUUCCAUUCUUGUUCUGCCCAAUUCUUUUAUUGUUGGCAACACUCGAAAUGGAAAAUUAACACCUUCGGUGAUGCGAUACCUGAUAAAAUUUAUUAUGAUUUUAAGAAAUAAAACUAGGCCAUUCAUAUUUAAUUGAACAUCUUUAGCAAUGUGACUAUCUGAAAUUCUGAAUAAUGUUAAUUUGACUAUUGCAAGAAUGAGGUUUUAUAUAUGUAAAAAACAAUCUAGCAAAAGGUAAGAAAGCUUCAACAAUCCAAUCCAAUCCCUUAUAUAUUGAUCUGUAUUUUUUCGAACAAUCCACUUUUACUUUUACCAUGUAUGAGAGAAUGUUGAGAUUAUUAUUUCACAUCAUUAAUUCUAUAUACAAUAUCGUUUCACGUUUGGCACAUCCAUCUAUUAUCUUUAACUCAAGAAUUUCAAGAAAUGAACUUGUGAUUUGUAGUAGUUUGUAACCUCACCAUUUUUAAAUAAUAACUAGCAUUAAACUUUCUACAAAAACAAUGACAUUUAAUUGAUCAUAUUUAAAGUUUUUUUAUACUUUAAGCAUAUAGAUAAAUCAUUACUAGUGAAAGAAGAAGAAAAAUUAAGAUCACAAUGUGCAAUUAACCAAUUAAAAACAUAAAUCUGAAAUUCUACAAUAAAAACUAUUUGAAGUCAAAUAAAAUGAAAGAAAAUUAAUAUUACUUCAUCAAUUCAAAUUCACCGUCUGGAGGCACGAAACUAACAGUCUUCUCAGAAUUGAACCUUGUCAAAUUUACACAUUGGUGGAAUGUGACAUCAUCCAGUUCAAUGGUUUUCCCACUGAAAAAUAUAAACAAAAAACUGUACAUGACCAGAAUAUAACAAUAAUUCAAAGGAUCUAUAUGAUACAUAAAAAUGCUCAUAAGUUUGUAAUAAAAAUAUAUUAUGAUCCUUAUGAGCAUUUUGGAAUAUAAAUAAAUCGGUAAACAUUAUCAAAUAGAAUGAUAAUUGAUCUCAUAUUGUGAUCCAACAAAAGAUAAGUGGGCUUUCCUUAAAGUAAAAUAGUAAAUAAUCUUUUUAAACCAGACAUGCACGAGUUUUAUCUCAACAUAAAAUAGAAACUGAAUUAAAAAGCUAAAACAAGCAAAAAAGGAUUAUUAAGUACUACAUGUGCACUUGAGAGUUAACUGGCCAACUUCUUGAAACAACACACGCGGUUACUUUAUCACUAGGUGUUAAAACUAGACAGGAAAGUGUUAAUGGGUUCCCCUAUCUCUCUUAUUUAAUUUUUCCUCUUCAAUUGUAAUUCAGGGCCCUUCCUUUCAUUUUAUAAUGAGAAUUUACUUCCAUCAAAAAAAUUAUUUAGAACUUCUGAGAUUAAAGAUGUAAAUUGGGUGGGGGUCUAAGUCAGGUAUAGCUAGCCUCGGGCCUGGUAACCUGAGGCAGGUCAGGUCUUGCAAAGGAGACCCCAGGGCCCAGACCCAUGAAAUUUACCAGGUUCUUGCAGGGGGUAAAAAUUAAAAAGUAUAUUUUGUUUAAUUUAAAAUAAAUAGAUAAAAUACAAUUAAAUAUUAAAAAUAUAUAAGUAAAAAAAUACGGAUUGAUAAUUCAUAAGUUUUAGUAUAGAUUAAGAAGUAGUAGGAUUAGAAAUUAAUUGAGUUUUAGAUUUUAUAGGAUUUAUCAAUUUAGAUUUUUUAAUUUUACAGUUUCGCUUCUAUACUAUUUGUUUUAAUAUUUUAUAUCAUUAUAUUUAAAUAGUGUCCAUUUCUAGUUAUAAAUUUAUAAUAUUUUAAUGUGCUUGAAUAGUUUGAACUUUGAAUGUCUAACUCUCAAAUGCAUUCUCAACCUUUAGCUGUGAUUAAUAUAAUUAAUUAAUUAUAUAAUAUAUUUACCUAGUUUCAAAUAAAUAAAUAAAGUAAAAAAGUGUUAAAAGUUACCGUUUAAUAUGAAAUGUGAUUUUUCAUUUUUAAUAUGAAAUUAAAUGCAGGAUCUAACAUGUUACCUUUUAUUUGGUCUUGACUUAAUCUGUGAUUCCUUUUCAAGACCAAUUUUAUCAUUCAACCCUAACUUUAAAUCAGGCAUUCCAGAAAGAAAGCAUUUCAUUAGAAUUUUUCCAGUAACAUCACAUCGUAGAACACUUCCUACAAAAUCAAAUAAAACCGGAAAAAGAUUAAUCAGAAGAAGAAGAAAUUAUGAUAAACUGGUAUGAAUUAUGAAAUUAUUAUACCUUUUGAAGACAUGAGAAGAUUCACACUUUCAACAAUAUCCAAGAAAACCUAGAUAAAAUUCUUAAUAUUAGUAAGAAUUGAGAAAUAUAAUAGCUAAUCUGUGACCAUAAUACUUCCAACGUAAAUAAUACCUCAUUUUUCUUGUACAAAAGGCCUUCACGUCUCCAACCAACAGCUCCAGUAACUUGAAGAGUUGCAUUAGGAACUGGUUUUUCUGAGGACUUUUCAUCCAACACAACAAAUAAAAAUGCUUUAAAACACAGCGGCAUGCAUAUGAUUGUCGUAUACUAGCUUAAACAAUAAUAUAACAAUCUAUCUGACAAAUGAACACUAACUUUGGAUGAGAAAGGUGACCGAGUUCCUUCCUGAGUGAUAUACAGCUUCAAUAUUUCAGGUGAAAGAUUCUGAGGAUAACCAAAAUCCAUAAUUUCUGUAAAACAAGAUAAAUUUAUAAACAAAAUUAAUAGAAAAAACUAUCCAAAGUACAAACAAAAACUCAACCAGAUAUAAUAUUAUUAUAAUAAUAGAGCCUCUAUAAUAAUAUGAUUAUAUAAUGGAUGAUGUAAGCCUGUCGAUAAUUUAGGAUAAAGAUUUUGAAACAACCAAAUAUCAAACUCACAUCCAUGGUUUAAAAAACGGCGCUUUAAGCGCGCCAAAGCGCACUUGAAGGGGCACUUUUUCUAACGCUUUUCCUAAAACGGGUAAUAGGGUGGGUUCGGGUAAAGAUCCGCCCGAUUACCCAAUUACAUGUUUUACCCCUCUAUUUAGUAUUCACAGUGAAAUUUUCACUUAUUAUACUUUUUCCUUUUCUACUCUUCUAUUUAGUAUUCUAUCUUAAAUUAAAAACUCAUAAUCCUCUUUCACAAAAAGGUGAAAACCUAAAAAAUUCAAAACUCUUCACCUCGCCGGAGUUGGCCUCCAUUCUCGCCGGAGAAGGCCUUAUUUUCACGAAGAGAGUUGCUUCCCCCCCACUCUUCUCCUUAUUUUGGUAAGGUUUUCCCUCCCCCAAGCACUCAACAUCCCCAAACAAAGUUCGCCAGAUUCCGAUCAACCUCGUUUAUUUUUAAUGUUCUAUUACAUGUGGUAUUGUGGUUUUAUACUUUUAUAUGUAUUUUUUAUAGGUUUUAUAUGUAUUUAUAUAGGUUAUAUGUAUUUUUACAGGUAUUUACUGACUCUUUAAGCACUUAAAACGCCCAAAGCGAAAAACUACUUCCUGAAAAAUGGAGGCGCUUUUCGCUUUUUUAAACAAUGCUCUCAUCUCCCGUCCAAAUUCUCAAGAAGCUAUCGAGUUUUUCUUGGAUUUUCUCACCACCUUCAUAAUACAUAAGCCAUGAAGAGACCAUAAACCAUCUCAAAAUUCAACAGUAAAUACUCCAGAUCUAUCCACCCUCCCCACAAUUUCAAAAGGCUCAAGCCAUGUUCUAUGGAUGAGGAUAAAUUCACUUAUUCAACAAUCCUGAGUAUGAACUAUGGUGACGUCAGAGUGGAAGGUAUCAAUAAGAAGAUCAUACAGAACUUCACAAAAGGUACCAUUUGUGGGACGCUGCACUGGCCUUAUUGAGAGUCACUGCUUGGCACAUCUGGAGUGAGUGAAACAAACAUUCUAAGCAGAAUUCUCUAAGGUCUCCUGAGGAGAUAUCCAAAGAAACUCUGAAGGAUAUUCAUAUCAGUUUCAAUGUGAAUAUCCAUAGGAAACUCAAUAGCUCACAUAUUGAGAGAUAUGCAAUCAACUUUUGGAAAUCCAACACCUUGAAGUUUCUAAUUUCAGCUACAUGAGCUUUAAAGAGAUGUAUAACUCUAUAACUGUAUAAGGGCGAAGGAUUAACUGACAAUCAUCACUUUAAUCUAUAUUGUUGCAAAGAUAUCCAAGUAAUUAUAGAAAGAAAAUAAAAAUAACAUGGUAAUCCCUGAUCAAUUAUAUGAUAUUUUUCAAAAUGAUGCAAAUAUCCAAGCAUGACAGAUAGUGUGAUACCUACAAAUGCAUUUUGUGAUUCUUUUGUGGAGUUUAUUGUAGUUAAGCAUCAAAAUUCAAAGGAAAUGAUGCCCACUAAAAAGAUGUGUGGUUAUAGAAGCUAUUCAAACAACAAAGUAAACACAAUUAACUAACAUUAUGUAUCAUUACUAUCAUACCAUCAAGAAGCUCAUAUAUCAAAACAAAGUUAUUACGGAUAGCAUCUUCGUCAAAUGCUCCUCCAAAGUAAGACUUGAAAAGUGCAACGGCCUGAAAAGGUUUGGAAUUUUGGGAUUCACAUGCUUAGUUACUGUCUUCAGAAUAAGAAUUUAAAGAGUGCAGGUUAUUGAUUAUAGAUUCAUUAAUAAAAAAUGUUUACAACUAGAUUCAUCUACAAGAACAAUCAUAUUCAUUCUAAAAGCAUUUCUUAACUAUGCAUUUGGAAUAGUAAUACACAUUACUUACUUGUGUGGAAAUUCAAUGCAUGUCUGACUGACAAAUUAAGAUGAAGAAAAAUGGUCUAAACUCUAACUUUUAAGCAUAAUAAAAAAUCAACCCAAUAUCAAGUUUUAAAUGCUACGGUGUAUAAAAAUAGAUGGUGAUAUAAAAUCUACACACAAAAAAAUGAUAGAAUAAUAAUCAUAAACUAUUGGGUUAUUGGAUAUGAUAAGUGAAACCCAGAAUUGGUAAAAUGGUUUGAUUAACUUUGAUUUCAUCAAUGGCAGUAUGGCACUGCAUCAUUUAUAUUACUACAGUACUAUGCAUCACUUCAAUGGUAAAUUUUCCUUUGAAAAAUUGAAUAUGCCCAAUGUUUGAGUUGCAGGUUAAGAAAUUGUAAUCAAGGAGAUCAUAAGGGACUCCAGUCUAUCCUUCAAGCUAAAGAUCCACAGAAAGGAAUGCACCAGGCUAGAAUUAUAGAAUUUGCAUAAGUGCGAAGCUAAAUUCUGAGGCAACCUUCCUAAUUAUUUUAUCACUACAAAAAAUGUCAAAUAAAAUAUGAGUCGAUGGGCAUGACCAUCUCUCACCUUAUCUAUUGUAAAUUUGUAAUCCAUGAGGCAUGUCUCUAUAUUAAAUUAUUAAUGGAAUUUAACUUUGUAAAAAAAUAUAUACGUACGUAUAUUAUAGUUGGACAAAAAGAGAAAUUCAGAAAACAGUCAACUUACACAAGGUAUGAGCCUAUGCUAGAAACAAAAUGAAAAACUACAAAACCCUAUCUACCAAGGAAUAAAUACAGAUAUUCCACAAUUAACUGUUAAGAAAUAUUUGGUUAAAAAAAAUACCUCAACGACAAACUUGAAAGCGCAUGCAACAUUGGCAUUGCUGCUAACAACAAUCACAAUGUAAACGUUGCUGAUUCUCAUGUAAAAAAAAGAGCAAUUCCCAAUUUGCCGAACAGGACACGUACCGAGUUCUUUUGUGUGCAUUAUGUGAGUUCGAAAUGCAUCCACCAUAUUGCCACUGAGGAUCAGUUAUAAUACUUUAAUAAAAUGUAAAUGAUAAGAAAAAUAGAAACACAAAUCAUUUUUAAUAGGAAAAAGUAAAAAAACAAGAUUAGUUGAUAUAAGCAAUUUAAAAAAGUAAACUUGUAUAAAAUAUGAAUGAAUAGUUUUGAGGAAGUUAACCAAUUUUAACCUUUAAUGAUGGAAGUUAACCAAAAUAAAAUAAAAUUUUGAGGAAGUCUAUUUUUUUUAAAUAUAUAGCUCGACUUCUAGUGAUUGACUGCUAAUACUACCUCAUGAGGUUAGUCUUCCAUAAUUGCAAAGUAAUAAUCUCCAUUUGAGAACAACAUGCUUUCUUGAAAUCCUCAGAUUUGAAGGAGAGGCUCUGAUGUCCUUAAUAAUUUCUUUAAUGAGGAUCUCUGGUGGCCUCCGAGUGUGCUUCUUGAGUCUUAUGUUCCUCUUGAACCAGAUGUGCCAAGCAAGGCAUUCCAAAGCAGACACCAAAGAGAAGAGUGAUGAUUGAGUUCCUGGCAAGCUUCAAUGAGGUCUCAUAGUCUAAUUUCAAGGCUGGUUAGGGAGAGGGUGAGAGAGUUUGUCAAUUUCCAGAAGUGGUUAAGGGUUCUGGCCAGAGCUAGUGCGACAGUGUCUAACGCUAGCAGUAUGGUUCUGGUGUAUGGGAAAUUGAAAAUUAAGUGAGUUUUAGAUUCAUACUGUGAGUCACAUAGGAGGCAGCCUGUUUGAGUUUGAAUUUCUUAUCUCCUUAGUUUUUGGAAGAUUGUGAGGUGUCCCCAUUUAAUUUUCCAUAGAAUUUAGUAAGUAUAUGCGACCAUAUUCCAGCUGCAAAUUGAUCCUUGAUGCUUCUAACCCUAAGGGGUUCAGAUAUUCCAGCUGCAAGUUGAUCCUUGAUGCUUCUAAUCCUAAGAGGUUCAGAUAUUUCUACCAAUGUUUUCAAAGAAGUUCCAGCACUCCACUGUAUCCUAUUUUCAAACCUACACUUCAGAGUCCAUACGCCUUUGUAUUACAGAAUAAUAAGAAAUAACCAGCAUUCAUGGUAAAUUAGUAACACUGUAAAUCUGAAGUUCCAAAAGCAGCAUUGACUUGACUAUUUAAUGCAGUUUUAGAUAAGAUAAAAACUAAAAACAGGUUCGAAUAAGAGAAUAUUUGAAUUUUAAAGCAGUCAUUUCUAGUUAGAAUGUUAUCAAGUCGAUAUUUCUUUUAAUCCAAGUUCUAACACAGCUCAAGACGCACAAAAAAAUUCUAACUUCCGAAUCAAGUGUUAGCAACGGAAAGAACUUGCAAUUCAUACAUGCAACGAGGCAAUGACGGAAAAACUGAAGUUUUUAAAGUCGUUCACUUUUAGUAUACACUCAUGAUCUGUUGAUCUUGGUUGUCUAAAUUACGAAUUGCAACCAGUAAAAAAGAAAGAAAUCUUUUUUCCAAAGAUAAAACAUAGAGAAAAGGAAUCAGACCCGACAUCAUCACGGUAGAGACGAUUGAUGAGAACAUCUCCUCGGAGAUUGAGGAAGUAUAUAGCAGAUGCCGCCACAGGCAUCUCUUCCUUUCGCACGGCCGCCGCGUUUUCUGAGGAGGAAGGAAAGGAGACUCGUCUGAAAAGCAACAAAUUUCGAAUUUGUGUCAGCAGAGAUUUGGGAUCUGAUGAGGAAGAUAAGGAGGAGGAGAAGGGGGAAUUGAAACAGAAUAGUGAGGUCAACUUCUAAUUCUCGCUCUUGCAAAUGUAAUUUUGCAAUAAACACCUUAUCCAUUGAAAAAAUUGCAUUACAAUCAUUAAAGUUAAUUUUUGUAAUAUUUGUAUACAAUUUUUCUAAAAUACCCUUAAUAAUGUUAAAUGUUGCAAAACUGACCUUGAAAUGACUGAAUUUUAAAAUUCCAUACAUUAAAUGUACCUUGAGAAUAUCAAACAUUCAAUAAAUGCACUUCAAUAAAUAUCCAUAUUUUUUUACCUAUUUAUUAAAUAUACCUAUUUUAAUACUAUUUCAAUCAGAAUCAAAAUUGUAAAUUUAUUACAGAAGACCAGAUCUGACGACAUUAUAACUGAAGACAACAUACUGACGGCCUAACCGUCACGAGAACUAAUACUGACAGUCAGUAUUAUCCGCCAAAAAAGUCACUUUUUCUAUAGUGUGGGAUAGUUAUGGGUCUGAUCUCUGAACCUGAUCGAUUCACGACCCAAUUCUUGGUUUGGGGUACCAUCACAAAUGGAAUUGAAUUAUAAGUACCUAUCAAGAAUAAAACUCAUGAUCUAAACAAACAAACAAACAAACAGAAUCUUCAUUGAGUUUAUCAGUCAAAUCUAUAUUAUGUCGGAUUUAUCGAACAAAGUUGGCCGGACGGGCGACUGGAAACUAACCACGUGUAACAAUAUAAACGGCAAAAAGCUAAACCACAAGAAAUGAAGAAAAAACAAAUUUCAAAAAAGAAAGAAAGAGACAAUUAAGGUUGAGCUAUCAUAAGAUGUACAUAGAUAACUCUUUCAAGUGUUUAAAGUGUUUUUGAAGUGUUUAAAGUGUUUACAUAGAUAGGAUAUUAGAAUCUUAUGAGUAUCUUUGCUGAAUUGAAGUUGGUUUCCAGUUGUUGCACUAUAUCCACCAUCAUCACAACUCACAAUUUAUAAGCAGUGGAUAUGUAUUUUUCCAUGUCAUGGUGCAAUAUUGGUGCUUGCUUAAUUUAAAACCCUAAAAUUGCUAGCAUCUAAAACAUCAUUUUCAUCUUGAUCCAACUAAAUUUGAGAAUAUUCUAAAUUUUUGCAUGCCGGACGGCCACGGCUGGCUGGUUGAGCGUGCUAAUUACUGCUUACUUUAAUUAAACAUGUGAUUAGUUAUAUUAGGCUCUAUAAUUAUAUUUUCUUUAAGUUUCUACAUUUUUCAAUUCCUGAAUAUUUUACCAAGAUUGAUAGAUUUUCAAGUAUAUAUUGAUUUGAUAUUUGUAAUAUAAUGUACAUGGAUUUAUAGCUUUUUUUUUAAUAUACCGAAAUAUAUACUUGAAUUACAUAAUAUAUCAUCGGUUGUACACGUAUCGUGGUGAAAAUUAAUAAAAAUUACGUACAUAGCGCGCGAGAUUAAAAUCCUGGCAUGGAUCCUCAAUAAUUUUAAUACUUACUAUGUCCAAUUGAGUUAAUCGAAUUUUAAAUAAAUUUUAAAAAAUAAAAAAAUCGAAUUGAUUUUUAGACCCAUUGAUAUAUUAAAAUAUCAACGAAGAUUAAAAUUAGGUUAAUUUUAAAUUAAAUUUAGUUUUACCUGAUUCUUUUUGAGAAAUUAAAACUUUCAUUACUGAAAAAAAGGUUCAGCAUAGCCCAAGAUUACAGAAUAAUAUAAGGAAAUGCAAUACAGUAAAUGUAAAAAUAUUGUCUAUCUCUUAUGCAGCUAUGACGACCCUGAUUAACUGGCCAAGGAUUGAAGUCUCAAGAGGUUGGACUCCCGGCCAUGAACGUAUAGCUUGUAUUUCAAUCCGUGAAAAAUUUACACAUGCUUCUUAUAAUAGGAUGUAGAAUCAUACGUAAUGCUCACGUACAUACUUUAUAAUUUCAGUUUUACCUGAUUCAUUUUCUUUAUUUUUAAUAAAUUUUAAUAGUUACUGCAGUAGGUAGAAAGACCUGCUUCUGAAUGAUAUAUCAAAACCAGAUAAUAUAUAUCAUCAGUCACAGCGUGAUGCAAAUUAAAUGAAAAUUACGUACACAACGAGACUAAAAUUUUGAAGUCUUAAUAUAUAUAUAUAAGUUAUUAUGAUCAGUUGAGCUAAUCUCUCUCUCUGUCAAUGACUAUCUUUUUAUCAGGUGAAGUAAGACAGUCGACUAUUGCUGAUCGACGUCUUUUUUAAUGUAAAUCCACAUCAAAGCAACAACUAGUGCGAAUUUAUGGAAGAAAUAUUACUAUAAUUUAAGUUAAAAUGCAAUGCACAUAUUAUUUCCACGAUAAUGACAUAAAACAUUGAUAAAGUAUGUAACAUAUACCCAAAAAUUACAGCAAAAAUAAAAAGAAAAUGAUGAUGACAUACAUAGAAAAUAACAUAACCCCACUAUUAAUUUAUGACAUAAUUAUUGAUCUCCAUCUCCAUCCUUUCCCCACCAUGACAAAAGCUUCAAUUCAUGUAUCCAUCAAUCAAUUAACCUACUUGAUCUUUCUAUUAAUUGUCUAUAUAAACACCACAAAGACUCCACUACUUAUAAGUUGAUUAAUUAACACGACUCCACUCAACUGAACAAAUCUCAACUCUCCCAUGGAUCAAGGUGCAAUGGUGUCAGUUUCUGCAACAACAGAUAUUGCACCAUUUUCUUCUGUAAGUAAUUAUUGAUUAAUCGUCAUUAGGUGCAGAAUGAAUAUAUAUAUAGUAAAUUCUAUGUUGGAUUGAUUCUUAUAUAGGCCAGGGAUAUUGAAGAAUCAAACACGCUUUGCACGACUCUAGAUGGGUCUGUAGAUUUCAAGGGUCGUCCGGCGAUCAAGUCUAAGUCUGGUGGGUGGGUAGCUGGGUUUCUGAUUCUGGGUAAGUUACUUUAAUUUUACCUGUUGUUAGGGUUUACAUGAGAUAUCGAUCAGUCUUUUAAACAUGACACGACACGUGUGUGUGUGUGAAUUAUUAUGUGUAUGGGAUAGAGAGGGUAUUCAAAAUAACUCACCAACGGAUGUUACUUAAUAAUGAGUUCGGAUCUCAAAUUGGGUAUGGUAAGAUAUACGAGGAGUCGGGUUGGGGUCCGUUCCUUAGGAACGGAACUUUUUUGGGGUGGCAGUGGUUACCCUACGUUUGUCUCACGUCUGACUAGUCGACUUAGUUGAUUAUUGACGAUUUCGACCCUCUUGCCUUUUUUCGAAAAAGAGGGGAAGGAGGAUAUGGCUUCAAUGGACUAUGGUCGCGUGGGAGUGUCGAGUCCUCGGGUAGACACAAGCACAUGACAGGCGUAAGCAUAUUUGAACCUUUUUGAAGGAUUUCUGAAACCGAGAUGAAAGAGAGGGGUGUGUGGAAAUCUGAGACUAAACAGAUGAGUUUUUUAAGGAGUGUGUGAGUUAUCUUUGUUUUUAUUACGAUUUGUGUUAAUUAUAGCCUCGAACGUGCCUUUAUAUGGGGUCAGGUUCAGAGAGGCUCACUGUCAUUUUUUUGAGUAUAUAUUUAUCACGAUUAUUAUUAUAAAAAAAAAAAAAGUGAAUUAUUAUGUGUUGUGUCUUACAUAUGCAGUGAAUCAAGGUUUGGCAACUUUGGCUUUUUUCGGACUUGGAGUGAACCUUGUUCUUUUCCUAACAAGAGUUCUCCAACAGGAUAACGCCGAUGCGGCCAACAACGUGAGCAAAUGGACGGGGACGGUCUAUAUCUUCUCCCUAGUGGGUGCUUUUAUGAGUGACUCAUACUGGGGAAGAUACAAGACUUGUGUGAUUUUUCAAGGCAUAUUCGUUGUGGGUCUUGCUAUGCAAUCUCUAUCGACAUACUUUUUCUUAUUGAAACCAGCUGGAUGUGGAGAUGAACGUUCUCUUUGCACACCUCAUACCACCAUGGAAGUGAUGACCUUUUACAUCUCAAUCUACCUCGUUGCUCUCGGAAAUGGAGGUUACCAACCUAACAUAGCAACUUUUGGAGCAGAUCAAUUUGAUGAAGAACAUCCAAAGGAGUCUCCCUCAAAAGUCUCUUUCUUCAGCUACUUCUACUUGUCACUAAAUUUGGGAUCACUUUUCUCCAACACAAUAUUAAGCUAUUUCGAGGAUAAGGGUAAGUGGAUAUUAGGGUUUUGGUUGUCUACUGUGUCUGCUUUUCUAGGCUUGGCCCUUUUUCUAGCCGGUACACCAUGGUAUAGACAUUUCAAACCUGUUGGGAACCCUUUGCCUAGAGUAGCACAGGUUGUGGUAGCUUCAACUAGAAAGUAUCGUUUGCAACCAGAGGGGGAAAGUGAUCUUUAUGAUUGUGAUGGCAAGGAUGGGUGCUCAUGUGGUGGUGUGGGUAACAGUACUAGUAGCAGAAAAAUACUCCAAACUAAUGGGUUUAGAUUUCUAGAUAGAGCAGCUACCCAAAUGGACGAUAGAGAUUUCAAAAACUGUGGUGAGAGGAAUGAUCCAUGGAGGUUGUGUACAGUGACUCAAGUAGAAGAAGUGAAAUGUGUUUUGAGACUCCUUCCAAUAUGGGUGUGCACCAUACUUUACUCUGUUGUAUUCACACAAAUGGCAUCUCUGUUUGUAGUUCAAGGAGCUGCAAUGAAUCUAGACAUGGCUGGUUUCCGCAUACCACCUUCAAGCAUGUCAGCCUUUGAUAUACUAAGUGUUGCAGCUGUCAUAUUCUUGAACAAGAGACUGGUGAAUCCCUUGGUUUGCAGACUACGUAAAGAUGGGAGAGAGAUGACUGAGCUACAAAGAAUGGGUGUUGGGUUGGUGAUUUCUAUAAUUGCAAUGAUUGCAGCAGGUGUUGUGGAGCAUUACAGAUUAGUUUAUGUUGUCCCGGAUUGUGAAAAUUGUGCACAUACAAGCUCCUUGAGUAUAUUCUGGCAAGUGCCACAGUAUGUGCUUGUUGGAGCCUCAGAGGUUUUUAUGUAUGUGGGUCAACUUGAGUUUUUCAACUCACAGACUCCAGAUGGAUUGAAGAGCUUUGGAAGUGCACUGUGUAUGACUUCUAUAUCGUUUGGAAACUAUGUAAGCAGUAUUCUUGUGACUAUCGUUAUGGAGAUUACUAAAAAAGACCAGUUGCCGGGAUGGAUUCCUGGGAAUCUCAAUGAGGGUAGGUUGGAUAAUUUCUUCUUUCUUCUUGCAAUUCUCACAUCUGUGGAUUUUGUGGUUUACAUCGUGUGCUCCCAAUGGUACAAAAGCAUCAAAUUGGAAGGGAGAUAUGGGUCUUCUGAAGAAGAUGAUCAAGAGGCUUCUUCAAAGAUUUAAAUUUAAUGAAUCAAGUAAUAGUUAACUAAAAUAUUCUAAUUAAUUAAUGGCGACUCAUCUUUCUAUAUUUAAAUAUGUAUUAAUGUAAGGUAAUGGGCGAUAGAUAACCAUGAUACUUUCGAUCAUAGGGCGACGUUCUCGUUGUACAACAUUAUAUUAAUGGACAUCUCGUGAGAUAUUGGACUAACAUUCAUCAUUCAUAUUGUCGUUAUCGAGUUUUCUUGUCUUUUGUAGAUUACAUUUUGCACGUUAGACCAGUAUCACAUUUUGCACGUUAUAUUUUGAUAUCUCAAUCACACAUGAUACAUCUUUAUGUUUCCCUCUAAAUAAUUCGACUAGUUAUAUCUCAAUUGACCAUAAAAACGACUAACAUUUUCGUUAAUUUUUUUAUCUGGUAGAGAGACACAAUUAGCAAGUAAUAUCUCCAUAAUCAAGGUUUGGGAUUUAUCAUCAUGUUUUUUUGCAUUACAAUGAUGAUUGGCGAAGAAAACUGCACACAAAAAAUCAUUUUGCUUCAAGGUUAAAAUAUAAAAUAUAUGGAAAAAAACUAUACAAAAUAAAUUAAAUAUAAACAAACUGUACAAACUAUUAUUUGUUAUGAUCAAUUUCAUUUCAUCCCAUAGCAAAUAAUCAACGUCCACUGUACUUGGUUGCACACUUGUAUUUACUGAUUGCCAUUGGAGCUGACGGAGGGAGGAGGAGACACUCGUGCCUCUUGAGGCUGUGGUGAGGCAGUGAUAGCAUAUGUUAUCCGUGACGAUGAAUUUUCAAUGAGACCAGCAACUCCAGCUGCAGAAGAUUGAGCAUUGGAAGGAAGAAAAAGAUCAUGCUUCUGAUCCUUGUAAGCUCUCCAUACCUGCCAAGAAGGAUUACAUUGAAAUAUUGAAUGCCUGAUGAAAUAUUGAAAAUUAUUAACUGCAAAAAUACACUAUUCAUGACAGAGUACUUGAGCAAAACAUAUGCAAAAAUAUGUACAUAAAAUUCAAUAAACACAGAGAAGGGAAGAAUAAAAAUCAAGGUAAAUGAAAAAUAAUACUCACAUCAGAUGAAUCCAAUCGAUUGCGAACUUUAGCACAAUGGGCACCUUCUGCAGAAAAUGCACGCAAUACCUGGAUUCAUCAAUGUUACACUUAUCAGCUUCAGAAGAACUUUAAUAAACCAUGAAUGAAUAAUAGCAGCUUAUUAAGAAUACGAUAUAGCCCAAAAGAUUAUUUCCAUACGAAUAUAUUAUAUACAUACAAUGGAUAUAACAGAUAACUAAAUCACUUAUAUAUAUAGGAUCCAUUUCCGGUACGACACGUCCGCACGGCGACUCGCUGCGGACACUAUUGCGAGUGGAGUUCGGGGGUGCCGUCCACCAUCGCGAGGCCGGAACCGGAAUGGAGUUCGGGAAUCGCAAGUUCGCGAUGAGUUUGGGAACCCGGAACCACCAACUUUACCUCUGGGAACCCAACGCGGUUCCGGGUUCGGGAGUGCCGUCCUCCAUUGGCACGCAAUGCGGUUCCUCACGCGUCGACCGUCAAAUUGCCAUUGAAGGUCAUCCGCUUGAGGUACCGCACCCAGUUUCAGAGAUGGACAUACUGUCUGUGAAACUGGGUGUGUAUAUAUAUUAGUUCCUUUAUAAAAUCCAGAUAUCUGAUUAAAAGCACACUUUUGGUGAUGCUAAAGUUUUGAUUAUGAUAAAUAUAUUCCAGCAUUUUGGCAGCAUAAUCCUGUGAAAUUAUCACUAUUUACUGGAAUCAGAUUUCUCAUUUUGCCCACACAGUCAUUUCAUGUGUGUUUGAAAUAAGCACCCUCUCCCCCAAAAAAGGAUCCAGGUUUUCGUCAGAUCUUUUACAAAGGUCGCAUCUCUUAUCAAUGCUAGAGUCUCUUUAGUUUGUAGCUUAUUCUACCCACACAAAGAGAAUUUAUUCAUGCUGAUAAGACCAUGAUCCAUCUACAUAUCUAUCAGGCAAGAACCUGACUCUAGUUCUUUCCAAGGAUGGCUUGAGUUCCACCACUGUCAAACUGCAUUUUGAUCUAGUUUAAUGGAACUAUCAAUGGAUAAUUUGCUGUCUACCAAUUCCUUCCAAAUGUGAGAGUCAUUAAGGUACCUCCGUAUUAACUCCCACCUGUUAACUAUUAAAUAUACCUUUUUCAUCCAUUUUGACCCAAUGGAAUCAUCCUUUUUCUCCUAUAUCACUAUCCUCCAUAAAUUUCUGACUUUAGAUACUUCACAACAAUUCUAAAUACGCCUUAAACCUAACACCCCAUCAGUGAACGACCUAGUACAUUAGAACUAAGGGGAAAAAUUCGAUUCUAAAGCUCGGACUCAACUUAGGUAAAAUAAAUUAGUUUUAUAAAUUUUAUACUUAUACAGUUAUACCCUUAUAUGUUAUAACUUAAAAGGAUUGGUACUUAUUAGUAUUACGUUACUUAAAUAAUAAAUAUUGGUAAUAUUAGUAAUAUAAUAUUAUAUUAGUUUAAUAAUAAUAGAAUUUACUUUGAGACUGAGCCUAGCCAAAGCCCUAACGAGCCAAGCCUAAACCUGACUCUAGAGCCCAUAGUUUGGCUCAUUUACAUACCUAAUUGGAACCUUGAAAUCUGGUUCGAAGAACUCAACAUCACAACUGCUCAUUUAUUAUCCUUCACCUCACUUUUCUCUUAUUUUUCUCAUGUGUCUUAAGUAAAGAAAAAGGCAUUGGGCUAGUUGACUGGACAAGAGUACAAGACCCAUGGUAGACCAAGCUCAAGACUAGACUCUAUAAAUAGGAGAGAGGAAAGGAAGGAAGGAAGGAAGGAAGGAAGGAAGGAAGGAAGGAGGAAGGAAGGGGAAUUUAAUUUCACUUUUUCCACUAGAAAGUUAUGAUCUAUAGAUCUGCAAAGACUUUCAAUGAAAAGGGAUUUAGAGUGAUUAUCAGACGCACAACAUUCUCUCACGCGACCUAAUCCUCAAAGUGGGACACCAAAUUGAGAGUGAACACUAGGCGAGCAAUUUUCACCAAAGUUCCUAAUCAAAUCUAAAUUAAAAAUCUGAUACCCAAUUCAUUCCCAACCAAAAUCUUCACCAACUAUGGUGCCCAAAUCACUCCCAGACCAAACUAUUUAAAUGGAUUCUGGGUCAAGAUCUGACCUGAACCAAACUUAGAAAGAUACACCUAAUGCGUCAUGCAAUUGAACACACAUUUAAAACCUUGGUGUAUAAAGGUCAGAGUAACUGCAUAAUCAACUUGCAUCAUUAUUUAAAACUUCCGUACAAUAGAUACAAACCUCUACAGCAAGUACACGCCCUACAUCAGCAUCUGACUCAUUCCACUUCAUUUGAGUAUUAAGCCCAUGCCUUCCACCAGCUCUCCAGUCGAGUAGGCCAAGGAGUACUUCAACAAGACCAACCCUAUUUAAAAUUCAAAUAUUCAAUCAAGAUAGUUAGAACUAAUCAUGUAACGUAUUUACUACAAAUGUGACUAUGGUAGCUAAUAGCUAUGAUGGUGAAAAAAGCAAAGAAAUAUUAGAGCAAAAAAAGGUUAAAACAAAAGGCAUAAAACAUAAUAACAUAUCAUACUGAUAUAAAUUAUAAUUACGUCACAAACACAAACUCACAAAAAAAAGUAAAAAAACAUAGAGAAAGAAAAUCAAAACUUUGAUCACAAAAUACACUCAUAAAAGGCAUAAAACAUCAUGAAGGUAACAAUAAUAUAAGUUUAAAAUUGAUAACUUGAUCUUUACAAAAAGUCGAAAAAGAUAAAUGUUAACAUAGAUCUGAAAAUAAUAACGCUUAAAAGUGUUUAUACAUGUACGAGUCAUAACAACAUUUACAAUUAUGGAUUACCAAAAUUCACAAUGAAUUAUUUUUAUAUUAGACACUUAGUUAAGUUUUUGGCUUUGAAAUGGCCAACCAAAUGCACUAGUGUAAGAAAUAUGAAAUGACGAUAUGUUAAAAAAAUAGUCGGAAAACCUGAACCUGUCAAUAUCUUCAAGCAAUAAAUGAAAUAAAGUAAUAAACUAUCACCAACUUACUUCAAUCCUUGCGCUACAAGUGAGUCUCUUGCACGAUUUCCAGCACCGACAACUCGUUUUAAAGUUUCAAGUGCCAGAAUGCUCCCUCCUUGCCAUCCAAUUGUUUUCAUGAGCAACGGAACAACCUAAAAGCAUUCACAUUAUAAAUAAUGAUAUUAGUCUGUCAUUCAUCAUGAAGAAUGUAAUUUUUUUUUGCAAACAGUAAAAAAAUUCAUUAAUAAUUUAAUAUAAUGAAGAUAGUGCCCUACGUUACAAACGGGAAAAGAAAUUAAAAUGUAGUGGAGAGGAUAGAGUGGUUUCCCGUUCUGUCGACAUUCUCCUAUGUGGCUAAUCCUCUUGGUAAUCUAGUAACUAAGAUUUGAGCCUCGGGAGGUUAGUCUCCCAAACCUGCAUAGUAGUCUUCUCCGUUUGUGAACCACAGUCUUUCUUAAAGAGAUCUGCUCUAAAGGAAAGGCUGGAGUCCUUAAUGAUUUCCAAAAACAUUGUCUCUGGAGGUCUCUAAAUCUCUAACUCUUAGGCCCCCUCUUCUUCCUUUGGGAAAUUUAGGACCAUGACAUUUAGAAGUUGGAAUUUCAAUAUUCAGUAGAUAUUUUUAAAAUGUUAACUAAUUAGCCAUCUAAUUGCCUGAUUUAUAUCUCUAUUCAUGAAAAUAAAAUAAAAACUACAGGAUUAAAUCAUUCUCUGUACAAACCUGAGGAGUCCCCGUACUUGUAGCUGCCAUAGCUUCCGCACAAGUUGUACUGGAAGCGAGCUGGUGAAGAAUACGUAAACAGCUAAGGCGUACACGUUCUUGGGGGGUUUGCGAGGAUUGUUUUGACUGCUCAUCUACAGUCUCAUUGAAAUCAUCAGAGCGACCGUCAUUCUCAUUUUUCAGUUCCUCGGAAGACAUUGUUUCUCGUCUUCCCUCAUAGGCUACUGCAGCAACAAGCUUUGGAACAUAACCAAGAUACCCAACGUGAUCUGCAAGUGCUGGAUGUACUCUCAACAAUGAUACCAAUGCAAAAGAUAAAAGCAAAGGAAGUUCAAAAUCAACAGAAGUUUGCCUAUCAUAAUGAGUUGCUGUUAUUGAGGAUAGAUACUGAUCCAAUAAUCCUUCCAAAAAUUUUCUAGGAUUUCUCAAAGGAAACUUGGGAUCUUUUAAAAAUAGCCUUACAUAGAUUCCACCAACCUACAUCAAGUAGAAAUAGCAAUUUAGUUAUUUCUUUUAAAGAGGGGAUUCCUUCUAAAAAAACUGAUAAUGCAUUUUUUAUAAUACCUGAGGUUCAUCUCUCAUUUCAUGUUGUCCAGAUGCCUUCUCAGGUAUAUCCCAAUCAACUACUCGGCCUUUCAUCUGAUCAUGGUAGAGAUCAGAUGCCAUAGUUGACAACUGUGCAGAUAGAGAUGAAGCCAUCGCUUGUGUCCAAACAAGUUCUGGUGUUUCUGUUGUUUGAUCAAGAACUGUGAUCACCACCUCACCAGGUCCAUCCCUGAUAGCUGAUACUAAACCAUCUGGUAGAAAUCUUGCUAGUGUUAUAGCAACCCUAGGCCCAUGCAUUGAUUGUCCCAGAAGCUUUCCCAACAAAGAUGCAGCAGCUGCUCUUUGCUGUAAAGGUAUUUCCUCUGCAAAAAAAACAAAGGUUUUAAGAAUGGUCCUGAAACUUCAAAUGCAAUAUUUAUGAUACUUUUCAUAUCAAAGAUAUCUUUUAUGCAAAACUCUGAACAAAGAUCUUUACAUAACUUUGACUUUUGGCCCACUAUUUAAGCAAUAACUUUGAAUUAAGAAUACUCACCUUGCAUGGGUAAUAGAAGUUCAAGAAUAUAUACAACCCCACCAUGCUUUGCCGCUGCCCAUGCUAGUUCAGGUGUGCUGGCCAAGGCAUAUAGAACCUGCAAAGUUCCC